rnacentral:lncRNA from 1 species
CAUUAUAUAAGGUUUUAUAUUCUUGUUAUGCUAAAAAAAAGGGAAAUAAGAGAAAGUGAUGGAAAAUGUUGAAGAGAAAGGAAAGGACAGUGUUAUAAAUUUAGUUAUCAACAUUUUACACUAAAAUAGUUUCAAGACAGCAGCAGUAGUCUGACUUUGAAAAUCUACCAAAAACCGUAUAAAUUGAAUUAGAGGAUGAAAAAAAUAUGAAAUUAAAUCUUAUUGCGUCUAGUUUCUCAUAGAAGAAACGGUGUAAGCAAUGAAAAUGUAAAUUAUGAGAUAUAGUAGGUUUUGUGAGAUAAGGUCAGAAUGAUUUCGGGUUCCCCUGUACUGACUUUGGAAAAUCAUCAAAAAUUGGAGAAAAAUAAUUAGAGCUUAAAUUUAUAUGUUUAGGUCCUUAAUGAGUCUAUUUUCAAUAUAAACAAAUGAAAACAUCACUAGAAUUCUGUACAAGGAGAUAAUUAAUUUUUAGUGAAGAAGGAUCGGAACUGUUAGACAGCAGAAUAUGGAUGACUUUAAAGAAUAAACUGUACUUAUUGGAUAAACCAAAAAUUCUGAACAUUUUAUGGUAAGAACGUAUGUGAUUCUAGUUUCAGAUAAAAUUUACGAAUCUUAAUUUGGAGUUCUGUAUCUCAAGAUAUAAAUAAUUUAGUGACUACGACUCAAGUGGACAGCUUUGAAUGAAUAUAUAUAUAUAUAUAAGUAAAUGGUGAAAUUAUAGAUAAUGUUACCUAUAAGCAUGUUAUAUACAUUAAGGAUGUGGAAUGGAGAGGAGGAAGAGGAAAAUAUAUGAUUAUUUAACUAGCAUGAGUUUUCAUUAAAAAUGAUCAAUUUACAUGUUUUAGGUUCAGGGACUAAAUUGAACAAAUGUGAAACUUUAAGGGUAAAUUUGUAAAAAUGUCAAAAAGUGACCAAAUUGCAUGAAAUGGAUUGGUUAUUUAUCUAAAUUACAAUAUUGAAUGAAAUUUAGAACAAUAUUGGGUGGAAAUUUGAGAAAAAUAGAAAAUUGCCAAAAUGUCCCUAAAUUUUGGUAUUUCUGCAAAUUAGUCUGGUGAGCUCGUAUGAGCUAUAUUCUAUAUAAUUUUAAUUGAAGUGAAUACUAUUUGGUAAUGAAUAUUAUAUAUAUGUGUGUUUUAUUAUUGGGAUCAAAUUAUUAUUGGUAAUAUGUAUAAUUAUUUGAUGCAUUUAAAUGAUUAUCGGAAGCUCGAUUGAGUUGGAAGCUUGUUGGAGAUAUAUCAUAGUAUCCAUUUGUUCUAUUGGUAAUUUUGGAUUAUUUCAUUCUUGUUAUAAUGGUGUGUAUAAGUUAAAUUGGUUAUGAAUAUGAAUGUUAGAUAAAAAUGGAAUGUCUGAAAAUUAAUUAGUAAACUCCGGUAAUGCCUCAUACCCUAUUUCGGUGUCGAAUACGGGUAAGGGGUGUUACAAUAUGCCUAGAUUAUGUCUUAUUAUGGAUUAGUAAAAAUCAUGUUUGUACUUAUGUUUUACUUAAAGGUUUUGGUAGCUUUUGUAUCUAGGUUUGAUAGACAGUUAAUUUUGUGCUUUUAAUGUAACUAUUUUUGGCUAAUUUUUUAAUAGAAUACUACCAAACAUAUGAUUUUUUUGCUUAAAUCUUUCAGGGAUUAAAUUGGAGUGCCAAAAUUCAAAAUAAAGAAAAAUGGACUAAAUCAAAACAAGAAGAAAGAAAAGGGCCUAAAUUAGAAAAUUUGCAAAAUUAGUGGCUAAUUAAAUUUGAUUUCUAAAAUUGUCAAAUUCUAUAAAUAGGAAAAAUCUAUGUUUAGUUGGAAUAAUAUUAGAAGAUUCGUGCUAAUUUUAGUUGGUUGAUUCAUGCUAAAUAUAACACUUGAAAAGUGUAUAAAUACUGUAUUAGUGGCUUGGAAAGAGACACUUGAAUUGAAUUAAACACAAUUUUUCCUUUCCUUUUCACACAUCUGUAACAUUGGCAAAAGCCUAUUGCCAUUUUAUUUCUUUUUCUUAUUUUUGGUUCAAUUGUCGUUUAAGUACCUUCCUUCCUCCACCUAUCACCGAUAUAAUUAAGUUAGAGCAUAGGAAAUUUAGGGAUCUGGUUACAUAAACAGGAAAUUUAGGAGUCCCAGUCCUUGUGGGAUCGACCCUACUACUCUAUACUACUAUUUAAUUAAGUUAGAGCAUAGGAAAUUAUAUUUGGUGGCUUCGACGCCCAUCAACUUUUGGUGUCAUUGUCGGGGUUGGAAAUAACUCUAGUUUUAUUUAUUUUACUUAUGACCAGGUCAAAAUCGGAAAUCUUAGAGUUUGAACUAGAAAUCGAGAAUUUAGCUCGAACACUACGAAUAAAAGUUAUUUGAUGCGAAAAACAACCACAAGCAAGAGAGGCCAAACAUGAAACACUGUCUAACACAGAAGCAAUAGAUGAUACACUCAGUGAACCAGAAGAAAUGGUGAAUCAAACCAUUCGUCAACUUGCUAUGGCACUGGAUUAGCAAUAGCCAUUAUGCAUAACUUACUCGAUGAGAGGAACACCAUUUGAAUUAAAGUCGGGCUUAAUUAAUUUAUUGUCCACUUUUCAAGAUUUGCAAAAUGAGAACCCCCACACUCAUCUUCAGAAGUUCCACAUGGUUUGCUAAAACAUGAAACUACAUGGAGUAACUAAUGAUCAAAUUACGCUUUGAGCUUUUCCUUUUUUGUUACCUGACUCUGCUAGAGAAUGAUUAUUUUAUUUACCUCUAGGAUUUGUUAAUACAUGGUCUGAUAUGUCUCGUUUGUUUCUUGACGGGUUCUUUUCAGCAGUUCAAACAGCCAAAUUAAGGAGAGAUAUUGUCGGAAUACGAUAAAAAGAGACUGAAUCGCUCUAUGACUACUGAGAGCGAUACAAUGAAUUGUGUGCAAGUUGCCCACAACAUGGCUUAACUGAAUAAUCAUCUCUUCAAUAUUUUUACGAAGGGUUACUCCUUAUGGAAAUGAAAAUGAUUGAUGCCACAAGUGGAGGAGCACUUAUUAACUUGACUCCUUAAAAAGCAAGGGAAUUAAUUUCGACCAUUGCUGCAAAUUCUCAACAAUUUUAACUAACUAAAGAACCCACAAAAAGGGUUCACGAGCUAAGUAAUUCAUCCUUUGGAGAUAAAAUCGAUAAGCUCACUAUUAUAGAUCAAAAUUUGCUUACAAGAAAAACAAACCCAGCUUGGUUAUGCAGGAUUUGUGUCAUGCUUGAUCAUCCGACAGAUUCUUAUCCAAUCUUACAUGAGGACACAAAAACAUAAGUAGAUGUCGUUGGGAACUUCCCAACCCCACCUCAAAGGAGUUAUGAUCCACAUUUGAACGCUUACAAUGCAGGGUGGAGGGAUCACCCAAAUCUGAGCUAUGGAUCGAACCCUCGAUACAAUCAAUUGUAUCAGCCAAGGCCACCUCUACCUCAACAAUUUCAACCCCCAAAGUCAUCUCUUGAAACCAUAGUGGAGAGGCUAGUUGUUAGCACCGAAAAGUUCCAAUAAAAGGCUGAAGCACACCAAUAAGAAAUAGAUCAGAAAAUAAGUAAGCUUGCACUUACGGUCAGUUGAUUGGAGUCCCAAGGGAAAUUGUCAUCUCAAACUAAGCCAAAUCCACGACAAAAUGUAAGUUCUAUAACCUUAAAAAGUGGAACAGUUUUUGGGCCAACACCUAGCAUGAAUCCUGACCACGAAACUAGAUGGGAAGAAUAGAAACAUGAUUCAAUAGUGGCUACGAAAUUGGUACCACAAAAACCAUUCGUAGUACCACCCCCAUUCCUUUGAAGGUUCACCUAAUGUAAAAGGGAGCAAGAAGAGAGAGAAAUCCUAGAGACGUUCCAAAAAUUUGAAAUUAACAUACCCCUACUCGACGCGAUAAAACAAGUUCCACACUGUGAUAAAUUCUUAAAAGAAUUAUGCAUUGGCAAGAAGAAGCUCACGGGUAACGAAAUAGUAGGUGUAAAAGAAAAUGUCUUUGCAAUUUUACAAAGAAAAAUUCUGCCUAAGUGUAAGGACCAAUGUAUGUUUGCUAUAUCUUGAAAAAUACGUAAUGUUGGCACUAAAAAUGCCAUGUGUGAUUUUGGUGCAUCUAUUAACUUUAUGCCUCUAUCUAUUUUUAAAUUACUAAACACGGGUCCUUUGAAAGAAACAAAGGGGAUAAUCGAAUUAGUAGAUAGGUCAGUUGUAUAUCUGGAAAGGGUGUUAGAAGAUGUCCUCAUCAAGGUACUUGAAUUAAUCUUUCCUACAGAUUUUUACAUUGUUGACAUGGAGGAUGAUAACUCAAAAAAUUCUUUCAAUAUUCUAUUCAGGAGACCAUUUUUAAGCAGCGCACGAACGAAAAUUAAUGUUCUGAGUGGAACACUGAUCGUGGAAUUUGACAGUGAAGUGGUCUAGUUCAAUGUUUAUGAGGACAUGGGUCGUCCCAGUGCAAUGGCAAAUGUCACUAGUGUCGAUAUAAUUGAACCAUUAACAAACUUUCAUUUUGAAUACUACAAAGAGGAUGAAUUACAAACUUGCUAUGCAGGAAUUUAGAUCUUGAUGCUAUGGAAAAAUAUGAAAAAUUAUUAAUGAUCAAAGAACCAAUAUGUGAAGUUUUCAUUCACAUGGCGGCCUUGAAAUUGGAACUCAAACUGUUACCGGAACAUUUAAGGAUUCCAAUAGAGGAAAAGACAAGCCUGAACGGAGAAGCUUAAAGACGCCUUAAUCCACUGAUGAUGGAGGAAUCCAGGAAGUAUUUCAAGGUCAAUAGGCAAAGGUUGAAACCUUUUUAUAAGAACUUCCAAGUGAAUGUAGAGGAUAAGUUAAUUCUCGAGGAGCCAAAUGAAUAAAAUUAGGGUCUUCGAGCUAACGAAAUUAAACAAAAGUGUUUUUUGGGAGAGAACUCAUAUUUAUUUAUUUUAAUUUAUUUAAUUUUGAAUUCAGUUUAAUUCAUGUUGAAAAUAAAAAAUAAGAUUAUUAUUUAAUCUAUUUUAAUGUGUUGUUUACCAAGAACAAUGGUGGAGGCUAUCCCUUUUCAUCCAAAAAUAAAUCAGAAUCGAAUUUCUUUUGUGGCAUGGGCUCACCUUGUCAAAUUUUAGUUCUUCCAUUUGGUGAAAAAUACACCCAGGACUGAACCAACCAGAACCAACCUAAACUGCCCAAACCACCCUCUGCCAAAUUAAUACAAGUACAUUUGACCCUUCUAUUUAUUAUUCUUUUGAAAUUGCACAUUGAGGGUAAUGUGGGCUAAGUAGGGGGGAUUCGUAGGACAUGUCAUGCUAUUUCUUCUUUGCAUGUGUUAAUUCGUAUACUAAGAUUAUUCCUUAAUUUGUUUCGAAAUAGAAACCUCCAAAUCCUAUGCUUAGUUAAUUUAAAUAAUUUGGUAAUUCAUGAAUAACUAGUUAUUGCUUAAUUUGAUCGACAGGUGUUUUGUAGAAUUGAAAAGAUUAUGGCUAAGUCAACAUUUCGUAAAAUAGUUGGCUUUUUAAACUUGCCUAAUAAAGUACUCAAGUUUCAUUUUUGUUCAUUGAAAUAAAAAAAAGUAAAUAAAUAAAUAUUUACUCUGUUAAUGGCUUCCUUACAAGUGAAGACUUUAGAAAUGUGACCAAAUUGAGUAACCGUGAUGAGGUGCUUGGAUUGUCAUCUCAUUUCACGUCAAAAUAUUAGAGUGACAAAUCGAAACUUCUAACACUCCACUAAUCGAGCUGCCAUGAGUAAAGAGAAAUAAACUAAUCGGAGACACGUCAAAUUGAGUAACUAGAGUGAGCUGCUCGGGUUGUCAUCUCAUUUCACAUAAAAAGAUUCAAUUAUGUCCCAAACUUGUGGAAAAAUUUAUUGAGUACGAUUUUCUCGCAAGUUUGAUUAAGCCUAAAUUAAGUGAAGUAGUUGAAUUUUGCAUAAUGUUAGAAAUUUUAUAAAACGCUUAUUGGUUAAACCUAGCGAUUACUUUUUUUAUUAAUCUAAUUGUUUGCAUUACGCUUGGAUUAGGAAGGAGAUUUCAUAUCGAAAAAAUUAUCGAAUGAUUUCUAGUAUGGGAAUACACAUCAUGCUUGAGGACAAGCAUCAGCUAAGUACGGGGAAAUUUGAUAGAAAGUUAAUUUUGUGCUUUUAAUGUAUCUAUUUUGACUAAUUUUUUAAUAGAAUACUACUAAACUUAUGAUUUCUUGAUUAAAUCUUAUCAGGGAUUAAAUUGGAGUGCCAAAAUUCAAAAUCAAGAAAAAUGGACUAAAUCGAAAUAAGAAACAAGAAAAGGACCUAAUUAGAAAAAUUGUAGAAUUAGUGAUUAAAUCAUAUUUUUGAAAUUGUCAAAUUCUAUAAACAGGAAAAAUCUUAUUUUAGUUGGCAUAAUAUUAGAGGAAUCAUGUUAAUUUUAAUUGGUUGAUUCAUGCUAAAUAUAACACUUGAAAAGUGUAUAAAUACUUGUAUUAGUGUUUGGAAAAAGACACUUGAAUUGAAUUCAAUACAAUUUUUCCUUUCCUUUUCACACGUCUGUAAUAUUGGCAAAGCCUGCUGCCAUUUUAUUUCUUUUUCUUAUAUUUUGGUUCAAUUGCCCUUUAAGUCCCUUCUUUCCUUCUCCUAUCACCAUUAUACUUAAAUCCAUUCUAAUAAUCCAUCGGGUAUGAUUAAUUUCAUGCUCAACUAAAACCCUUAUUUAGCCUUAGUCUGGUUAUCAUUCCUAUCGAGAAUCGUGAGAUAUGAAUCCAUACUAAAACCUUUCAAAUAUAAUAUUCGUAUCUCUCUGGUAUAUGGGAUGGUCACAAUCGUCCCUUAAAGUUAAUUCAAUUUCAAUUCAAAAGCGCGCGUUGGGUUGGAGUUGUUUGGCGUACAGUUCGAAAUCGAGUUGGUCACCUGUUGAGUUUGAUUUCCCGCAAACAAAUUGGCAUGUCCAUGUAGGUAAGGCCUAGUUAGACCUCCGUCAAGGGAGAUAGUGGUCGGAUUUAAACGACCUAUGCGGUUGAGGCCGUUAAUUCGAGUUGGGUUUUUCUAGAUCGCAAGGCUGCCGAGAUCUUAAAUUACGAAUGCGUGUUACUUGGUUAGACAAUCGGUAAGUGUUUGUUGGUAAGUCGUUUCGGAACCAACUACAAAAGGAAAAGUUGGCGGUUGAGGCCUCCUUGAUUGCUAUAACCAACUUAUCGUUUUGAAAGGAUAAUCUACUUUCAAGGAUCGAUUUGAUUUCGGAGUGUAUCGAUGCUAAGGCUAAGCAUUAAUUUAUUUGAUUCACCGAUUUAAUUUAAAUUCCUUAAUUUUAUUUUGCAAUCAUAAUUUUGUUAUUGUUUUAUUUUAUUUUAUAUGUAACACCCCUAACUCGUCUCCAUCAUCAAAUUAGGGCAUCGCCGGAUUAAGGUUACAGAGUAUUACCGAUCAACCAGAAAUCAUUUAACAUCAUAUCAUUAAAUAGAUUAAUCUCAAUCAAAAUCAUAUAAAUCAUAUGCAUUUUUUCCCUAAAUCAAGCUUUCGAGACCUUAAAAAUAGCUUAGAAACAAUUUGGGACUAAAUUGAAACAAAACAAAAUUUUUAAGAAAAAAUUGAAAAAUUAGAAAACAAGGGUCACAUGGUCGUGUGGCCAGGCCUUGUGACAUAGCCCAAGUUGUGUAACAUUCGAACAAGGGACACACGGCCGUGUCCCAGCCCGUGUCCUCACACGUGUAACUCACUAAGUAGCGUCACAAGGCUGUGUGCCAAGCUGUGUGCUAGGCCGUGUAACUCACUCACUUGAAACACUAAUAAAUUUCAAGUAACACAUGGCCGCGAGUGUCCUAGGCCGUGUGAACCCAAAAAUUUACCUAAAAUCAAGCUAUUUCAAAGCCAAAUCAUGCACAACUAACCAUUUCAUUUGGGUACACAUUCAAGGAAUUUAAACCGCAUUCAAAUACAUCUAAACAUGACAUUUCAAACAUCCUAAAUCACCUAACCAAUAUGACAUUUAGAGGCACCACAAUUGUAUCAAUCAUCAUUUACCAAAACAUGCCAAUAUUGCCAUUUUCCAAACAUACCAACUUAGUCCCUUAAAUACCAAGUAACUUCAGAUAUGUUCAUUUGUAUAUCACCACAAACUUACAAAAAAAGACCUUAUAUACAAGCAUUUGAAAGUGACCAAAAUGACGUAACUGGUGAGGUGUUAAGAUUCACCAAACCAAACAUAAACUUCAAAGUAUAUACAUACCAAAUCACUAUUAACACAUUCACAAAAUACCAUUACAAAUAACCUAUACAUGUCAUUAUUAACCUUGGCCAAAAUACUCAAAAACUACCAAAUUGGUUGAUGAAUAGUGUGAUAGGUCUCUGACGAGCUUCCAAUCGUUCGAGCUUCCGAUUAUCUAUAAAACAAAGGAAAGUAACUACGUAAGCAACAAGUGCUUAGUAAGCUCUUAUAAACUUAAACAUAACUUACCAUUUCAUUUAUACAAUUCAUAGAUUAAGCAUAAAUCGUUACCCAUGCCAUAAGCUUAGCAUAAGCCUAUAUAACAUCAUCAACUCACAAGUUAGUACACUUGUCCAUGAUACAAAUGAAUUCAACCAUAAGAUAAGUAGAUUACCAUAUAUAAAUACAUCAUUUAACUUAUCAAUGAUAUCAUAAGAUCUUGAUUCAUUCCAUUUGCAUACUUACCAUUUCAUUUCCUUUUCUUACCAGUUGAACCAAGUAGAAUUACAUCGGAUACUCGAGAAUGCUCACACAUAGUGUGCCUUUCCAUAUAACCGUAACCUUUCGUUUACAUCAAGGCUCACACGAGCUGUGAAAUGGGCCUGCUCACACGAGCUGUGGGUCGGAAUGUUAGCUACACAAUGCUUCUCACACAAGUUGUGGAGAAUCUGCAACAAAUGAAGGUCCUCAGCCAUCAAUAGGACAUUUAAUACCAGCACUCGAAACAUGAAAUCUCUAAUGACAUGUCAUUUGUAUUUUAAGAAUUCUUAAGGUUCAAACAGGACUCGUUAUCCUUCAAUUCAUUAUAGCAUGGAUAAAUUUAUUCAUAGAUUCAUUUAUUUUUUAAAAAUUUAGAAAAUAUUCAAUUUAACUAACAUUAAAACAAUCAUAGUUCAUACGAACUUACCUCUAUAACUAGGGUGUAGAAGUAGAAUCGAACACUAAUCUGAAGCUUUAGCUUUUCCUCGAUUUAAGUCCAAAUAUGGUUUAUCUUGAUCUAAAUAGAUAAUUUCAAUAAAUUAAAUACUUCUAGUAUUCAAUUUAAUCCAUAGUUCAUAUUUAUGCAAAAUUAUGAAUUUUCCCCUAACAUUUUAACUUUUCACAAUUUAGUCAUUAAGCUCACAACUUGAAUAUAACUCAUUUUAGCCUAAAUCCAACUUAACCAAUGUUACAAGGGGCCUUGAAACAAUCCAUAAUUACCAAAAAUUCACAACAAAACCCAUGAAUUUUUACUUUUAACAAUUUAAUCCCUAAUUGCAAUUUCAUCAAAAAUCACUUAACAAAACAUGUUUGUUUUACAACCAAAACUAAUAAUCUACCAACUAACAUCAAAACCUAUUCAAAAACAUCCAUGAAAAGUCUUUCAAAAUUUUAACAAAUUUUCAAAUUAACCCCUGUGCUAGCUAGAUUAAGCUAAAACGAUAACAAAAAUAUAAAAAUCAUUAAAAAAGGGAUCGAGAUCACAUACCAUGCAAGCACUUAAGUUAGCCGAACCUUCAAACCCUAAAAUAGUGUUUUUCUUCUUCAAUUUUCGCUGGAGAAAACCUUUAAUGAAGAUGAUACCUUUUUGUUAUAUUUUAGUUUAAGUUUUAUUUAUUAAAUUACCAUUUUAACCUUGGUUAUUAACUUAACAAAACAACAAAUUUAAGUCCAUAUUUGUCCACUAACUCCUUAAAUGGUAUAAUUACUAUCUUAGUCCACUAGUUUAAGAUUUCAUAACCAUUUGACUCUUUUAACUGAUAGAAUUCAACUUUUACACAUUUUAUGAUUUAGUCCUUUUCAUUUAUUAACCAUUUAAACUUCAAAAUUUCUUAACGAAACUUUAAUACGACCUUAAUAUAAUCCUGUAGACAUUAAAUAAAUAAUAAAUUAAUAAUUCAUUCAUCGAAAUUGUGGUCCAAAAAUCAGUGUUAUCGACACCACUGAAAACAGGCUGUUACAUUAUAUUUUUUUAAUUUUUUCUUUAUCAACUAAAAUCCCCAUUUUAUUUUUUUUCUAGCUCUGCAACGCACAGGUUGUGGGCACGACAGCUGUCCAGACUUAGGAAUCUAGUUACGUAAACAGGAAAAUUAAGAGUCUCAAUCACUGUGGGACCGACCCUACUACUCUAUACUACUAUUUAAUUAAGUUAGAGUGUAUGAAAUUAUAUUUGGUGGUUUUGACGCCCAUCAAUGUUAUUAAGCUAAAAUGGUAAUCAAGUGUGGAAUGGCUAUAAGGUUGAAUGUGUUUAUUAUUGGCUUUAAUAUUUGAUGUCUCAUUGAAAGUAUAUUGGGAUGAAUGAAUAUGAUCAUUUGGCUAGUUUUGAUUUGUUGAUUGAUGUGUCAAUUGUGGCAUAUUGGUUAGGCGUUUAGGAUGGUUGCUUAAAAUGAUUAUUUUUGUUUUGAUUUAAAUGCUUUUGAAUAGGUUAAAAUAUGGCUUAAAGGAUAGCUUGUGGCAUAAGUGUUACAUGGGUAAAUUGCUUGUUUUGAAAGGCAUUUCCAGUUACACAUGACCUGAGACAUGGCCUGACUCACGGCUUGGCACACAGUCGUGUGCCAUAUACGGGCUCGUGACGCAACUGUGUGGUUUAUAAAAUUUUAAUUGAAUUUGGUGCACUCGGGCACAAGGAGCUACAUGAGUUGCUCACAUGACCAUCUGACCUAUCCACAUGGCCAUUUGACCUAUUCACACGGCCAUGUGGCCUAUCUCACAUAGACACGACUUGUACACGGUUUAGCGACACAAUUGUAUGGUUCAUCCCACACGGGCUGAGCUUUCGCACACAGUUAAGGGACAAGACUGUGCGACCCUUGUUUUCAGAUUUUUCCUAUCUUUUUAAAUUUAUUUCAAAUUGAUCCAAAAUGAUUGCCUGUUUAGUUUUAACCUCUUGUAAGCUCGAUAUUAACCUGUAAUUAAUUGAAUCACAUGUUAAUUUAAUUAAUUAUGAUUUAUUUAAUAAUUAAUUGAUAUUUUAAAAAUUAUAAUUUGUUUGUAAUUGUUUGGUAUUUAGUUGUAGCAUCCUAUUGCUCAGAUAUGGUGACCGAUCGGGUAAGGGGUGUUACAUAGUAUAUAUAAGGCAUCAUUUGUAGGUAUCCAAAAACUUGAACUCGCGACCGCAUAACCAUCGUCAACUAGCCCUCAGUUAUACUCAAACCCAUGACCGCAUCACGGCCGCCUAGGACCUCCACUUAGACUUCGACCUGUGACCAUAUCAAGUACUGUCGCCUUGAAACCUGACUUCCAUAGGAUGAGUUUUUGAGGUAAUGGUCCUAUCCCGACAUGACAUUCAAAAUGUUUUAAUAAAUUAUAUAAUAAUAUUGAAAUUAUUAAAACAAUCAAUAUUAUUUAUAUUAUUAAAUAUUGAAAUUAUAAUAUUUUAUAAUUCUAAAUAUCUUUAAAAAUAAAAAUUUAUUAUUAAUAUAAUAAUAUUAAAUUUAAAUUAAAUUAAAUUUUAUAUAAACAUAAAAUUAUUCAUAAUUAAGUUUUUUUUUUCCGAAAAAUGAGUUGUUACCCGCUAAUCAAAUUAUUUUCAUUAAAUAAACACAAAACAUAAAAGAAAUAGUUUUCAAUAAAUCCAUAAUACGAACGCAACUCGUAUACUGAAAUACAUGACGAACAAGAAAUAUGAUAUUACGCGGCCCAACGUUUGCUUGUUUGAGUUUCACAAUUCGAAACAGCUAGAAAACUGAGGCAUAUCCGCCACUGCCUCUCGGCCUAACAUUUUCCAAUUAAAGCAAAAAACUAGAACAAAUACUAUGUACGGAUCCAUACCAUACUCAAAGUUAACGGAUUUAGAAGCCCCAUGCCUUUGCUUAGAUAGAUAAAAAAAAAACACCAGCCAAAAGAAAAAUCAGAGGAUGGAGAUGGAUGCAGGGGAUGGGUGGCUGUUGAUGAGAAGGUUGCUACCCUUGGAGAGCUGGUCCAUGAGGGAAAGUAUGUGGGCGUUGAAAGCACGGGCCUGAUUGACGGACUCUGCUUCCAGGUCACCCAGCUGAGAACAGAGCCUUUCCUCCGCCUCUUCCGCCACCCUCAGCCUUUCCCACAUCUUUCGUAAUUCCUUUCUCAUCUGCUCCUCUCUUUCCCUACUCUCCUUCAAUUCCUUUUCUAACUCCUGGUUCCUCUUCCUCAGCUCUUCUUCUGGUGCCGCCAUUGUUGGAGCCAUGUGAUAGCUUGCUGUUCUUUUUUUUAUUUUUUCUUCUAUUAGUGGAGAAUAGUGGAGUUGUGGAUCAACCAAUGUGGAGGAAUAGAUUCUCUUAUAGGCCUACGACGCUCCAACCAAAAGUGUCCAGGUUCAAUGUAUCUAGUUUGCUUCGCCUUGUUUCGUCGUCGUCUUCUUUUUUCUAAUUAUUAUAUUUGCUUGCAAAUUCAAUUUUUGAACCUUCAAUUUUCAAUUCUUAAGUCUUAUCCCCAACCAUUUUGAAAAUGAUCAAAGAUUAAGAAAAAUAUAAUAUAAAAGAUCAUAUUAAUAAAACAGUAUGAUUUCAUUUUUGCUUCCCAAGUUAAUUAAAUGAUAGAGUAAAAAUUUAAAUGUUACACUUUACUUAUAGUUCUUGUACUCUUUGUGUGUUUGAAAUCUAAUGUACAUAAUUUUAUUUUCAGAAAUUUAGUUCCUCUAUUUUUUGAAUUUAAAAAUUUAAGUUCAUUUGUUGACAUUUUUAAAAUUCGCUGAUAUGAUAUUUUGAAAUUAAAAAAAUUCACUUGAUAUCCAUAUAACAAAAAUAAUAAUAAUAUUGUAACAGACUUGAAUUUGAUAAUGAAUUUUAAAGGUUCCAAUAAUUCAUAUCAUCAUGUUAGUUAGAAUAUAAUAUUUAAUGAUGUUAUAAAAGUUGAGGUACUAAAUUAUAUAUGCCAAAAUUAAAGUAUAUAAAUUGAAUAUCAAAUUUGAGUGGAAUAUAAGGAUCAAAUUAAAAUCGAACUAUUCUUAUAAUCUAAAAAAAUAAAGGGAUUAGAAUUAAAAUUCACCCAUUGUUCUCAUGUAAAAAGAAGAAGAAUAAGAUCCAUUGUGAAAGGUUUUAGAGCCUUUCUUUUGUAUAUACUCUAUAGAUUAGUAUAAUCAUAAUAUAAAAUACAGGGAAAUUAUCAAAUUAAGAAACAUAAAUUAUUAAUAUAAAACUAUAGUUUUCUUGCAAAGGGUGGAAAAUAAUAUUUCAAAAUAAUAAUAUUUUGUAAGAAAGGUAAAUUUAUAAUUUAUAAAUAAAGGUAAAUUAUAUUUAAUGUCAUUGAAUUAUUGAAUUAUUAGUAAAUUUACGUUUUAGUCAGUUAACUUUAGAAAGUUAUUAAAUAGUUGUUAAACUAUUCGAAAGUUUUUAUUUCACUUGGUUGUUAACUUUUUCUUUUUAAAUUCGACUAGCGAGCUCCAAGCGAUGAAUCGACGAUCACUAUGAUAGUCAAUCUCAGAGAUUGGAGAAGAAAGUUAUUUGGAUUUUGAUUUACGGAUUCGUGAUGUUCAAAAUUGUUUCGUGAAAAAAAGAUUGAACUGUAAAAGAGAAAGGGAAAGAGAGCUUUCAAUUGGUGCAAGUGAUGCAAAAAGAAAAUGUCACGCAUAAGCGAUCUUAGUAUCCCAAUGACUUAAAAAAAACUUUUGAAUAGCUUAAUGACCAUUUUGUAACAUUUUGAAGUUGAGUGACAUUGGGUAUAAUUUACCCUAAAAAUAUAAGAUUUUUCUAAAACAAUGACGAUUACAUUUGAUAUCAUACCCAAUUUAGUUUUUUUUUUUUUGAAAUUUCUUUUAGGGAGUUGAUAUUAAAUUGAAUGACAGCACUAACUUAAUUAAUAUUUAAAUAUAAUAUAAAUAUUUAAAUUCUUGAGUUGAUGUCAUAAAUUAAUUAAACAUAAACUCAAUUAAAAGAUUGUUAAAGUAAGAUUUUGUUUUUAUAAAGCCAUAAAUUUAACUAUGGUAAUGUUGCUAUUCUUCUUUUUUUUUUUUUUUGUGGGAAACUAAUCACUUUAAUAUUUUGAUUUUACAUUUCAACCAAAAUUUUAACAUACUGAUUUUAUAAGUAUAGAUUAUAUUUUUUCACUCAAUAAAGAAAGAUACCAUAAUUUAAUAAUUAAAACACGGAAACUUUUUAAUAUACAUAAAAUGUCAAUUUUAUUUGUCCAUACGUACAUUCUAACCGGUCACUGUUACGCGUGACUCAAUUGUCAAAGGAUCUCUUACGUGAACUUUGGCCCACAACUUUAGUAAUUUUUCUUUAGGCUCGUCCUAAUAUUAUGGAGUGAGCCAUCCUAGGACCCACUAGCUUGUCGGAUGACGACUUAUGAACCUCAAUAAAUAUAUAGAAUAAUUUUAUUUAAAUCGAUAUUAAUUAUAAUAUGGUUUUAUAUUUAUUAUUUUCUACGAUUCAUAUUUUAAUAAUUUAAUCGACAUAUUUAAUAUUCUAUUCAUGUAGAUUUUACAUGUCAAGUUUAACGUAAAGAAAGAUUUUUAAUUAUUUUUUUACAUGAAAUAGUCAACCGUUAAAUAUAUUAAUACAAUCAAUAUUUUUGAUUGAUAUGAUAGAGAUUUCAGAUUGAUUCGAAGUUUUACAUGCAUAGCAAGUAUAAUUAUAUUAAUAAAUUCAACAAAUAAAUUGUUAAAAUAUCAAUUGUAGAAAUAGUUAUGAAAGGGUAUAAAAUCAUGUUAAUUUUACACAAUAUAAAUUUUGGCCCCUGAACUUGGAAAUUAUAUCUAUUUUGGUACAUGUAAUUUUUUUGUCCACUUUGGUCCUUGAACUUAGCAAUUAGAUAAAUUUCGAUCCCUAAAUAUGGAUUUUGGUAAGAUUUGGUGAUAUGGACAGUGCUACUGGAGCAAAAUAGGAUUUGAUGGACCUAAAACUGAUCAAUGUAAUGGUAUGAACAAAGGGAUUGAACCAAUUGACUCAAGAACUGCUUGAAAUUGGUAAAAAUUAAAGUUGAGAUAAAAGUCUACAAUUGAACAAGUAUAACUAGUUUAUUUUUUUUAUUUUUUAGAUAUUUAUAAAUUUUUUAUUAUUUAUUUAAUUAUUGUUGGUCCAACAGUUAAAUCAAUCAAACUAGUUGAAACGAUAAUUGAUAGUCUACUUAUUCAAUCAUCGAUAUGAUUAUAAAAACACUAAAUGUGACAUUCAGAUAUUGUACCACAAGAAAUUUUCAAGUGAAGAUGUGACACAAUUUCAGAGUGCUAUAUUAUCAAACUUUUAUAUCUUUAAGUGCCAAAGUGGAUAAAAGAAAUACAAGUACCAAAGUGAACCUAGUCGCCAAGUUCAUAGGCCAAAAAUUAUAUUACCCUUAUAUAAAAGGGUUAAUUGCAUCAAACAUUUUGAAACUAUAUAUCAAAUUUUAAAAUAUUUUAAUUGACUCAUCAAAAUUAUCAAUAUUAUUCUAAUUAGGUCAUUCCGUCAAUUAUUUUUGGCAUAGUGUCAAAUUUAACCCUAAAUAUUUAUUUUUUUUGUCAAUUUGGCCAUUGUUCCUUUUUAGCUAAAUUUGGUUAUUAACUUUCCUAAAAGAGUCAAAUAUUUUUUUAAUGAAAAUCCUGACAAAAACAUUAUCUUUUUUAACUUUGUUGAUAUAAUAACCUGUGUGACAAUCCAAGUGCACUUCAUGUUGACAUGACACAUGUAACACCCCACGCCCGACCCGAUCACUGGAUUCGGGUAUGGAGCGUCAUAGGUCAACUCGUUGGAAACACAAAACUCUCUCCUUUCAAAACAACUAUCCAUUUUGGCGGGUACCCUUUUUUCCAGUACAGUGUUCUGUUAAUUUAAGAAUUCAUUUAUGAUGCGAUUUCCCGAACUUGGAUAGUUUGGAAAAUAGCUCGAAUGGGAUAGAUAGUCUUGAAAUGGUUUAACAGAUGGAAACCUCGACCUGUAGUAGUUGUAGCUAAACAACCUUAGCUAUAUUAAAGCUAAGACCCGCUUAACUCUUGAACAAAUGUAGACUUGGGCGUUCCAUCAGAGGUUGGACCUUGAAAACAAAAACCUCAUUCAUCAUUCCUUACAUUGAAAAGACCAGUCUUGACUUCGAGGUUAGGAAUCACAUCAAUUUAUUUGAAAGAAAAAUUUUAAAAUGGUACCCCGCCACACUUAAGGAUUUAAAGAUACAAGAAAUAGCCUUUGGUAACUGCUUAACAACAUUUAUAAAUCACAAAUAAAGAUAAGCCAACUAGGCUAAUGAUCAAUAUUCAAAGUAUUCAAAAUAACGUUUCAAGUACAAAUUAAUGGUUUUAAAAACGACGGAAUCUAAAAACGUCCUAGUACUCCUAAAAAAUACAUGUUCCUAUGAAAAAAAGAAGGCUCACAAUUGGCCACAAAUCUUGUUGUAUCCCAUCAAUCACCACACUCAACUUAAGAAACUGAAAGUAAAAAGAAACUAGGUAAGUUUAUGACAAAUUAGUGAGUUCAAGGGGAAAUAAAACCCACUAAUAUUACUAUAAGACAUUAAGAAAUAGGGCUCAAAUUGAAAUACUAGUUCAACAUAUUUGGCGGAUACAUCCCUCUGAUCCAUAGAUCAACUAGUGAAUACUACCAUGAUCAAACUUAGCCUUCUGAAGGACAACACUGGUUUCUAAACUCAUACAUGACAGCCAUGAGCACAAUUGCUCCACGGAUACGCCAUAUGUGUGACUACUCUUUUUAUGACAGACAAACUUAUUUUACUUUUUAUGCAACGAGCACUAUCAUAUGCACCCUUUUUCUCACGUACUCUGUUCCAUGUGCUAGCUUCUGAUCCUUGUUCCAAAUAACUAACUUUUUCUGUAUCUUUAUAUCCACUCAUUAGAGCAAUUUAACAAACAUCACAUCCGUAUCCCCUUAAAUUUCCUCUUUGUUUGAACACGUACGUGUUCCCCCACAAGGUCGAGUUUUCACUACUCACGGUUUGCACCAAAGUGUCAUAUCAGAGGCAAAACAUUUUAUCACGUGUCUUCUUUUUAUCAUUAUACACAACAUUCCUCCGUUGCCUCAUUAAACCUGUCUGGAUAUAGAGCAUGUGUACUAAGGAAGGAGUACGUAUGCCAUGUAUAUGCCAAGUUUUCUGGGUUUGUUUAACCAUAUAUAACCUUGCAUGCAAUCACUCUUUAAAUAUGUUUCCUUAUACAUGAGCAUUCGAGACAAAGGAAAAAACGACUUACUUGGCUGUACAGUGAUAAGGAUUAAAUAAGAGAAUGCAAAUACCAGACACAAGGUGCAAAGGAACUCACCAGAAUACUUUACUUAGAGCUUUGUCUACUUUGUUGGUUCCUUCCCUUUAAUACUAGGACCUUCUCCCAUUUAUUUAGUUAAAACAACAAAACUUCUUUAAACAUAAAAAAAUGACCCAAACUUUACAAUAUAGCAAGAAUCUGUAGACAUGCAAAAAAAUUCUAGAUAGAAGUUUCUUUCAUAUCCAAUAUUCAAAAAAAUCUAUUGAACCUCUCUUACAUUAGCUUCUAUAUGUUUGGUAAAGGUUAAAAGAAUGUUUAAAAAUUUAUCAAUAGAAAACUGGUAUAGAAGCUUUCAUAGGCUUUAAUAUUCAACACAUUUUUUUAGCAAAGAAGGACUCCCCUGGUUUCUUCAACGAUAACAAUUUCUAGCAGAGAAGAUGAAUAAAAAAAAUCUUCUCUCCUUUAUCAUGCUAUCGUAUUUAUAGAUAGCUCACGUCUAAAUCCCAAUCAGGAUUAUCUCUAAUCAUUACUCACUCUCGCACGCUUCCACUAAUUAAUCACAUCCUACGAGGCUCUCCAAGUGUCUUAAUUACUGACAUGUUGCCUUCACUAGGAUGCUAGGUGACUUAAACGUGUCCCAGAAGCUAACAUGCUUACUUUAAUAGCGACACAAAAACACAGGUGGCGACCUUAUUAGUGGGAAAGUUUGCCUCAUAAGGUUCGCACCACAAUCAGGAACUCGCCACACUGUGAAGUGGAACUCUGCUAUAUUGGCAAAGUUCUACGAAGCACUUCGCCACGAGGUUAGCCUCUAUAUCCUGUCUAAGCCUUGCAACUUAGGCGAUUUUCACUAGGGUAGUCUCCCAAAUGGGGCCAACUCGCCAACUAGGGUGUGAAAACUCUUACCUUUAAAAAAAAUUCGUUCUCAAAAUUUCGUACCUAUGAAGAGAUACGGAUACUACUCUCUCAUGGUGCUUUCUCUUUCCCAUGUAGCCUCUUAACAUUGUGGUUCUGCCACAACACUUUAACGAAAGGAAUAUCUUUAUUCUUAAGUUUCUUAAUUUCUAUGUCCAGGAUACAUAAAGACUCUUCCUCGUAGGAAAAAUUUGGUUCAACUUAUGAUGUCUCCAAUUGUACUACAUGGUCUGGAUCAAAGCAAUAUCUUCUCAGUAUCGACACAUGGAACACAUUGUGAAUCUUGGGUAGUUCUAGUGGAAGAGCUAAUCAAUAUGCUACUGGCUCAAUACACUCCAAGAUUUUAUAUGGUCCAAUGAACCUCGGCCUAAGUUUCCCAUUUAAUCCAAAAUGAAUAUUCUUUUUUUCGGGGGGAGACUUUAAGAAACACCUUGUCACCAACUUCAUACGUUAUAUCUUUCCUUUUUUUGUCAGCGUAUACCUUUUGGCGGUCUUGGGAAGCCUUCAAAUGGUUCUUGAUGACCAUUAAUUUCUCCUCUAUUUCAUGGGCUAGGUCUAGGCCAGCUAGCUUUCUCUCACUAAGCUCCAUCCAACAUAUCAUUGAUCGACACUUCCUCCUUGGAAUGAUAGAAAUGUGCAAGUGUACACAAUCACAACAAGUAAUAAAGUGACAAGUAAAUGUCGAGUUAUAGUACCCACAGGGACUGUGAAAGAAAAAUAUUUAUGAAAUGUAAAUCAAACACUUUGGUGAUUAAAAAUAUUUUAAUUUUGAGGAAGUGAUUAAAAACUAAAAUUUAACUAAGUUAAAUAAAAUAAAAAUAAAAAAUUUCAAUGCACGAUUUCAAAAUAUGAUUUUAAUCAAGAUGACAUAAUUGUGUUAGAUCAAUUACAUUCCUUAACUUAGAAUUACUAAACCCAUAUUCAUGUUGGUACGAAUAUUUUCACUACAACUUGGUAAUUUGCUAACUACUGCUUAUACGUACUUACUAAAUUAACUAAUCUAUUGAACAUUUUUCAAUGCCAAUUCGAACGAUUAAUCAAUCUUCAUAAGCACAUGAAAGAUUAAGCGAUAUAAUAAUAUAUUUCUAUAUUGAAACAGUUUAAUCACAAUAUUCUUACAAGUUAUGCAAGACUAAUGUUUCGUUUAAUACCGUCGCUAAUUUAACCUUCAACUUCCUUAGAAGAUUAAACAUACACCAAUUAAAUACUGUGUCAAUUAAUUAUAAUUUCAAUACGUUUAAUAAUUAAUUCAUUCAUUACCUUACAUUUUAUAAGCAUGAUUUUAUUUAAUUGAACAACUCACCAAGGCAUAUAACAACACAAACAUGAUUUUAAUAAUUCAAGUGGACAAAAUGCAAUCAAUGUAACACAAAUUAAUUUAAACCAUUUUAAUUAGAACAAGAACAACAAAAAAACAAUCCUUCAUAUUCAUAAUCUCAACAUAAACAAGAAAAUUAAAGAGAAGAGAACUAGAAAGCAAAUCCAAUAUUUCUCUGAAUCCAGACUAAUACGCUCCUCUUGUUUUCUGCUCAUUCUGUUGAACUGAUGCCUUUACGAACAAUUGAAAGAUUCUAUUCCAAGGUGGAAGAAGGCUCUUUUUCAAGAGAGAAAUCGACAAGGAAGUUGGACAAGAAAAAGGGAAAAACAAAGAGAAAAAAGUGGAUGAAAGAGAGAGAGAGAUGUAUGGGAAUGAAGGUGUGUUGAAUGGAGUAACAAAGGGGGUAUUUAUAUGUGGGAGUGCUUGCUAAAAAUAUAAAAUAAUUAGCAGCCACACACUUCUCCUUGGUUAGCCAUAUUUCAAACUUGCUAUUGUAAGCUAGGGGUAAAUCUUCAAAGGCACAAAAGUGGAGGGGUUUGAAUGGAUUUUAAGGAAACUUUGAGGGUUGUUUUGCAAGCAUAAAAAUUAGUAAAAUUCAGCUGAUUGGGUCAGCUUGUUGGACAGUUUUGGGCUGCUAUUUCUCUUGUUGGAUCUGUGACACCCCAAAUCUGACCGGGACAGAUCGGCCUGAAUUCGAAGCAUUACAUUAGUAAUCUAAAUGACUUUCCGGUGAAUGACCACCUAAGGCACACCCCGACCUUAUAACACCUCAAUCUUAUUUAAUUAUUAGUUAUUUAUUAACGUGGAAGUAAUUUAUGAGCCAAUUUUAAACUUUUCCUAAGUAAUUUAAUCUAAGGGCUUUUUGUCAUUUUACCACCUAUGGUAAAGGUAACUCAAUUUUAGAUCUAAGUGUUUACUGACCUUCUUUUAGCCAAAUUAUGCAAGCCUAAACAAUUUCAACUUAAUUUGAGUUCGUUUACUAUGUUUAAUUCAAGUUUUAUUACUAGGGAUUAAAUUGUAACAAAUACAAACUAUCAGGACCUAUUUUGAAUCAUAAAUUAAGUGCGCUCCUAUCGAAUUUUACCCAUUACUAGAUUGAUCCUAAAAUUUUACCGAGUUUCCUUAUCAUCUAAGGCUCUAAUUAGACUAAUCAAUUUUCAGGACUAAAUUGUAACUUAAACAAAUUAGAAUACCAAUUUAAAAAGACAAAAAUUCAACCGUGUGUCAUUAAUUGUCCGUGUUUGCAUCAUGAAAAAUUUGUAGGCCGAUCGCACACGCUCGUGUCACUUAGCCACAUGCUCGUGUGCAACCCCUCACACACCCGUGUGGACAAGCACACGCCCGUGUGAAAACCACUACACCUAUUUUUGUAAAAAACUCAUUUUAAAACCCAAUUUUGCAUAUUUUAAUGGCCAAUUAAACUCGAUUGAAUUAUGAAUAAUUAACAUAAUUAUAUAUACACCUUCAAUUGAAUUUAUUGACAUCAAUUAAACCUCAAUUAUAUAGAAUUAGGCAAUCAAUUUAAUGCAUAACAAACAUCGAAUAAAUCAAUCAAGUGGUGUACCUUAGCCGCUAGUAAACCACUCCAUGGAAGCUUCAUUUAAAAUAUCGUUAGUAUAGAUUUCAUGCCUCACACACCGUGUUAUCAAUCAAGAAUACACAGUAAAUCAUUCAAUAAUUAAACUCAAACAUGCCUCAAAAUUAUUAUAAAACCAUCCAAAAUAAAAUGUCCAAUGUCCAAAGUCCAAUUACAGCCAAAAUUAAACUAAUUCUUGGGAGUUCCACAACGCCUGAUUACAGUCUCUAAAACGUGUAGUAAAGUCUCUACCAAGCCUAAAUCACUUGGAACUCUCUUGGUCGGCUCCUCAGCUCCUCAAACCCGACAAUUAUCUGCACGAAUUGUGAGGGUGUGAGCUUUAAAAAGCUAAGCGAAUGUUGAUAAAAACAACUAGUAAAUCAACAUCCAAAUCAUGCUUAAAUCACAUUCAAUCAAUCACCAAUUAUCAUUCAUAAUAAUGAAACAUGUCAAUUUAAUUUCCAUAUGCUUUAUCAAUAUCAAGAAUAAAUUAUUAAUUGCUUACAAAUAUCGAAUGGUAUAACAAUAAUCACACAUAAAUAUAUUGGCAUACACUUCUCAUGGCUUAAUCGGGUGAUCAUACAUCGGAUAAACGAAUCUUCGAACUCCCACAAAUAUCAAAUACAGUCCAUCGAGUUGAGCGGGUUGAAGCACACGCUCCCUUAUAGCACCUCAAAUAACCCAUUGAGUGGAGACUCAUGCUUAACACUCCCUUAUCUACUCCAAACAAAUCAGUCCACCUAGAGCAAUAUGCUCACAAUGUCACAAAUAAAGGUAAGUACUCACAAAUCCUGUGGCAUGCCAGCUAUAUCCAAUGGAUCCACCAUGCAUGUUACCAAUAUAUUCAGUCAAACAUAGCAUAUAAUUCAGUCAUUAUUGUGCUCAAUUUAAUGUGACAAAAUGCUUAUGUGUAACAUGUAACAUAGCCAUUUAACAUCCAAGUAAAUCAAGCAUUUCAUUUGCCAUUUUCCAAUGUUUAAUUACCAAUUGUAACACCAAUAUAUCAUGAUAAAAAAAACUCCAGUAAAUAUUCUUUAAUCAUCAAUAUAAUUAACCUAAUUAAAUUGUAAAAAACAACCUAAAUGCUUACUUACCAUUAUCUAAUAAAAAUUCAACUCUUGUAUAUAUAAUAUCAAUCUUGCCAAAAUUAGUCAUUCAACCAUAAUUAAUUAAUUGUAAUCAUCAAUUAAGCUACUAAUUAAAUAUAAAUGAGGGUCAAUUUACCAAAUCGCCCUUAAAAACAAUCACCACACAAUUUAUUCUACCACAAACAAAUGAUCAACCAAGCAAAUUCAAGUUUCAAUUCCAAUUAUCUCGGUCCUCUUCAAGAUUCGGAGCUUCAAUAGAGAUAAAGUAGGCAUUACCACCUUUCCAAUGCUAUAAUAAACACAAACUUUAAUUAACUAUACUAAUCAAAAUCCUCUCACAAAGAUACCUUACCAGCUUUGUAACAUCAAGUCAAAAACUCGAUUCCUCACAAAAUUGAUCUCUCCAGCCCUUCUAAACACUUUCAAUCAUCAAUACUAGACCAAAUACACUUAUUCUAAGCAUCAAUUUCAUCUUUAGAUCAAUUUCACAAAAAUUUCAGAAAAUCGGUUCAUAAAGAUGAUAAAAUUUAGAUUUCUUUAAAUUACUUCACAAAUAAUGUUUAAUCUUGAUAAAUAAGAUCAAAAACCUUUUAAUAGAUCCAUUUUGAGUUGGAACAUCCAUUGAUUUGUGGAUUUCCUCUCAAAAUUCAAGAUCCACCAUUAAAAAACCAUGAGUUCUUGGAAGAAGUUGACAUUGAUAAAAAUCCUUUAAUUGACUCUCAAAUCAUGUAAAAAUGUUUCUAAUCAUCAUAAAAACAAGUUUAGGAUUGAAUAUUACCUUUGUUCGCUUUAAAUUCGUGGAUUGAAAAUAUUGAUUCAAGAAGUUUGAGAAAUUUCAAAAUAUUUUUGGUUACUUUUGAGAAUAAUUUCGGGUGAAUUGAGAGACUAUUUUGAGAAGGAAAUUGCUUGGAUCUAUUUUCUGAUGAUAGAUCUUUAAAAUCAUAUAAAGAAAACGAAUUUUAAAGCUCUCUAAUGUGAUGUAAAAUAUGUGAAAAAUGGGCUACAUACAUUAUUUUUAAAACUGAAACCACCCACUAGAAAUUUAAAAAUUGGGAAAUUUGUCAAAUGGUCACUCCCACACUUCCCUUACUUUACCAUUUAAUCUUUUCCCUCAAAAAUUCUAAAUUUUAAGGUUUAUUUGCCAUAUAAAUACUCUAAAUUUUUCCAUAUUUUACAAUUAAAUCCUAUUUAAUUAAUAUUUAAAUUUUACUCAAAUUACCCCCAAUAAAAAUUAUUUUAAAAUUCCUUGUCAACCCAAAUUGAUUAUUUUCACUAAUAAUUAUUUAAAAUCUUUAAAAUUAAUUUUUUUGAAAAUAUAUUUUUAAAUUUUUUGGACUAUUAUUUAAUCGAUUUUAGAUUAAAUUAAUUUCCUAAAUUAAAUUAAAAAUUACAAGAAACCUUAUAAAUUCCUAAUUUCACACUUGGAACCCGAAAAAUAUAUUUGAAAUUACUAGACUUGGUUUAGGGAUAUUACAGGAUCAAUCUUCUUUUAUUAGUACAAUUGAGUCGCUUUCUCUUUUAGGCUUUAUAUUAAUUUUUAACCCAAUUAACUUUAGAUAAAAAUUAAAUAUAAAGUGCAUAAAAUAAUCAUCAUUUGGACCGUCCUUGUCUAGAAAAAUAUUCAUUCUUGCUCUUGGUUCACUCGAUGCAAAAAUUUCUCCAACGGUUCAAGCCUUUCGAGGUGUUUGCCGAGCCAAUUUCCAUAUUUUGUGCAAAACUGUCGAAAAUAAACCAAAAUUGUGAAAAUUUAUUAUAAAAAUAAUUAAAAUUCAAUAUGUUAAUAAUUUAAGUGAAAAUUAAUUAUUUUAUAAUUAAAGUAUGAAUUUUUAAAAAAAUUAGUAUGAAACCGCAUGAGUUAGGGCUCAAAAGGUGCUGAAAAAGUCUAUAUAUUUUUGUGUUUCCACACCCCCAAACUUAAUUCAUUGCUCAUCCUAAGUAAUGCACAAACUGUAAAAAGGAAGUGCUUGAAAUCAUGAUUGAAAAAUAGUCUUUAGAAUACAUUCCCCCACAAUUAUGAGUUUAGUAUAAUUAUGUUCAAGAACAAGAAUUUUGCAAUUGUGCAACUGAAGUAUACAUAUCGUUCGAAUUAUUCUCAAUUGUUAUCAUGCUAGCAAGAAUGGACUAAAUGUUUUCUUAAUAAAGAUAUGCUAAUUCUUACCACUUAAUUUUUAUUCCUUUAUUUAAAAGUAAAUUGCAAUCACUAAAUUUAACUUUUGUCUUCAUAUGUUAAACUUAGCAAUUUCUCUCCACUAAUGUAGGCAACACAGAAAUCUGGAUUGAAAGGUCUUUUAAAUAGGUUAUAACGUGGCUAGGUUAGGGGUAGGUAAAAGAUAGACAAUUUUAAGCUAAAAACCCUAGACUCAGCUUGCAUCAGACCUUUGAAAUAAAUACCUCCAAUACACCAACUCAUUUUUCUUUUACAUGCUCUUUUGCAUGCCUAUUUCUUUCGAGUACAUAUGCUAUUUCUUCUUUUUUUUAGAACAUGAGCAUUUUACUGUAUGUACUACAAUUUUUUGAGCAUUUGAUACUUCUUUUCAAUUCCCCCAAACUUAUUUUCAAAGAAUAUUCUGAAUAAUACUGAGUCUAGUGUUUAGGACAAUUUAAAGAUAAUUAUGAGAGAAGUGAUUGCUAAAUAUUGCAAAGGUUCAAAUAAAAUUAGGCCAUAUAGUCUCAAAGUUGGGUUUCAAAGGAUAAAAGUUCGUUAGGUUGGCUUGAAAGGCUAAAACGGUCCAAACAAAAGUUUGCCUAAGUCAUUUUCAAAAUUUCAUACUUCCUAGGAUUUCACCUCAAGAAAUUACUAAGUCAAUUCUAAAGACUUAAACUUUCAUGCAUGUCUAGCACUCCUAAAGAAUUAAAAAUUUUAUGGUAUGAUUUUCAAACUUUAUUAAGAGUAACAUUAUGUCAUAGUUCAACUAACAUAGCAAUUAUUGAGAUAAUAGAACUUUAUUUAUACUAGAAGUUAGCAUAAUUAACAAAAAUUCAAAUUUUUUAACAAAAUAUAACUUAAUCAAAAUUAUAAGAAUACCUUGAAAAACAAUUUCAAUUUUUGGUCACCCCAACUUAAGAUGAACAAUGUCCCCAUUGUUAAAAACAAUAGAGAGAAUAAAAAUAUAGAAGUGAAUAGAUACUGUACACCAAGUAGGACCCUAGGAAAAGGAGAUAAGUCAAGUUUGACUGCUUAAAUACCAAGCUUUUCCAAGGCAAAUCCAAACCUAGGCAUGUACAUAUCUAUUGUCGCACUUCUUAUUUUGCAAUUUGUUCAAUUUUUUUGAUAAUUUCCACCUCUUAUUUUAUUAUGCGAGAAAUAAAUUUCUAAUCCUAAAAACUUUAAAUGUCCUAAGAACGAAAAUAAAAUAAAGUAAAGAUCGCCCAUUUGUAUUUAUUUGCAGAUCCCUCAGAAUCUGACUCAUCUUUUGCUCCAUCGUCUUUGUUUUUGCAUGAAUCGCUUUGUUCCCUCUUCGAUGUUGGACUCCAUGGGUCAACUAUAAAAUUUGGAAACUCAGGCACAAAAAUAAAUGGGUCAUGAAAUAUUUUCGUAAAAGCGCUUCUCAUUGAGUCAUCCCGUAUUUUUUAAUAUCUCCAGUAAGCUUGUUGCUACCACUGCAUAUGUUGCAUUAGGUCCAUCAACUUUGAUAGCUUACCACGAAGAUUUGGGCGAGACAAAUGAGUUCNNNNNNNNNNNNNNNNNNNNNNNNNNNNNNNNNNNNNNNNNNNNNNNNNNNNNNNNNNNNNNNNNNNNNNNNNNNNNNNUCUCUGUGGGAUCGUCUUCUUCUUCUUCUUCUUCUUCUUCUUCUUCUUCUUCUUCUUCUUCUUCUUCUUCUUCUUUUUCUUUUUCUUUUUCUUCUUCUUAUUCUUCUUCAGAAUCCUCAUUCAGUUCCACUCGUUGUUGUAGAACAGAAUCUCCAGCUAUUCAGUAGAGGUCCCAAUAUGUGAUUGUGUCUUGGCUAUAACCUGUCUUCUUUACGUUUGUAAGAAUUUUAGUUUUCAAGCACAAAAUGGUUAUCGUAAAGCGAAUAUGUUGGGCCAGAAUGUUUGGCGGCAAAAUUCUAAAUUUCUCUCAGAAUGAUUUUCCCACAUCAAUGGUAUUUUCCGUAAAAAUGGAGUAUAACAAGACCAUUCACUCUAAUGAAAUUGUGGUCCUAUGUGAAAUAGGCAUAAGGCUGAACCGAACAAAAUAACACCAUACCUUCGCUAGUGGUGUCAAAUAUUCUCUGAGACAAGUGUGAGUUACAUGCUUUGACACAGUCCACUUAGAACCUGGAACUAUAAGUUCCUUGAGAAUUUCUUGCAAAUUUUUAGUCUCAAUAUUUUUCAUUAAGGAAGAAGAUUCAUCAUCUUCAAAAACAGGUAAAUCAAAGAAUUCAUUUAUAGUUGAAUUUAUUGGUACCUUGAUUCCUCAGACAAAGACUUCUAUUAAUUUGCUUGAGGUCAAAUUCGCAUAAAAUUCUCAAACUAACUCUUCAUCUGCACUUGUUCUUUUCUCACAAGACACUUCCCAAUUUAAAGCUUCAGCAACUCGUUGAAUUCUCGCCAUGAAAUUAGUAUAGUUGUUUUCUUUCAAUGUAAAGCCUUUUUCUAGGUGUAUUUGUUGAUUUUUGAAGAUGCUAUCGUAUCUAGCUUUGGCUUAUUCACAGUGGAAUUUGUUUUGUGAUUCUUCUACUUGGACAGAGGCACGAGUUCUUUUGCGAGGCAUGAUUAACCUGAACAUAAGAUGGAACAAAUAUUUUCUCAAAAAUUCAAUUUGCAUAAAAUAUUAAUAAUUCAAUAAUUUGAAAAAUUAAAUAUUUAAAUAAAAAUGGAAUUUAGGAGAAAAAUUUAAUUACCACCUUUGUAUAAAAUUUUAAAAUUUAAAAAUAAAAUUAAUAUGGAGAUAAUAGAGUUUGUUUAGGGUUGGUUGGAGGGUAAUUGGUUGGUGGCUAGUUGUGAUAGUAGUGUGGUGCUAAAGAGACAAGGGGCGUGCGACUAGCAAGUGUAAACAACAAUGUGCGAUGGCUAGGGGCUUAAGCAGCAGCAACAUGCGGGAUCAACAACAAUAGUGCACAAGCAAGGGUUGGUGUGUGUCAAUCAAGGCGCGAGUAGGGGCAGGUGUGCCAGGAAACAGGUACAUGGGUAGUAAGGUGCAAGCAGAGCUGGUGCACUAGCAGGGCCAAGGUGAGCUGCUGGUGGUCGGCUUGUUUGUGUGCGGGCAAGGAUGUGCACAGGUUAGUUAGCGAUGUGCGAGAUGGAACAGUUGGCGAGGUGUGUGCGAUGGUGGCUGCUGGGUGUGUGAUGCUACUAGUGGUGCCUUUGACAGUUACCGAUAAGAGCUGCGACACUAGAUAGCUUGGAGGUUGGAAUGUUUUAAGAGUGAUGGAAGAAAAUGUGCAUGGAAAUGUGGUAUUUAAAGUGUGAGUAUAGGGGAGUUCAACUUGAAUUCUUAGAAUAAAUUAAUCAUAAAAUAUUCUAAGUCCUAAUGUCAGAUAAAGUUAAUAACAAUUAAUAAAUAAUAUAAUGUAUAUUAAAAUAUUAUUUGCUAUUACUUUAUUUAUUGAAAUAAAAACUCUUAAAUAAAAUGUUAAAUCAAUUCUAAUCCUAUGUAAAGUUGAUAACAAUUCAUAUAUAUUAUAUAAAAUAUAAUUAUAUAUUAGUUAUCAUCAUCUUAUUUAUUAAAAAUUAAAUUACAAAUUUUAGUUUAGCUACUUUUAAAGGUAUUUACAAAAAGAGACAGCUAAUUUCAAUAUUUACAAAAAAACCAAAAAAAAUUGCAAAUAAUUUAAAUAAGUCCCUAAACUUAAAGAAAAUUUGAAAAUUGAGUUGCAAUUAAAACUUGGAUCAAUAUUGACCCUUUUAUUUGAAAAAACUAAAAAAUUAUUUUGCCAUUUAGGAAAUAAUUUCUCGAAAGAUUAUGUUAAAAUCAAUUCCCAGGAAAGGCCGGAGGGUUCACAAGUGGUCCUGCUUAAGUUCCAAUCUCCUAGACAAAAUUUAUUUUAACAUACUAAUCCAGAAAAUAUACCCUAAGUCAUUUAUUUAAAUGAAAACAAGAAAAAUUAAGUAUCCAAUUAAAUGAACGAGACUUUAUCCUGCUCAAUUUUAUCCCCCUAGUAAUGUUUUAAGCGCUGAGCAUUAACUCGAAAAUUACCUCCCCUACCUUGAAGCUCGACAACUCCAUAUGGAAAAACUUGGUGAAUAGUAAAUGGACUAGACCAACGUGAUUUCAACUUACCUAGAAAAAACCUUAAUCUGGAAUUGAGCAAUAAAACUUGCUAACUUGCUUCAAAUUCUCGAACUCAGAUGUGCUUAUCAUGCCAUCUCUUUAAUCUCUCCUUAAAUAACUUGGCUUUUUUCAUAUGAGAAAGUUUGGAAUUUUUCUAACUCGUUAAGUUAAAGCAUUUGUUUCUCUUUGGCAAGCUUGGGAUCCAAAUUGAGUUGUUGGAGAGCCCAAUAACUUUAUGUUCUAACUCCAAAGGCAAAUGACAAGUUUUCCCAAGGACAAACCGAUAAUGAGACAUCCCUAAAGGUGUAACAAAUUAUUUUUAGUGAAAUAAAAAUAGUGGUUUCGAGACCACAAAUUUGAAGUCAAAAAAUUUAUUUUAUUAUUAUUUUAUUGCCUACGGCAUGAUAGAAAUUUCGUGUAAAAAUUUCGUUAAGAAAUUUUACCGCUUACAUGCUUAAAUUGAUAAAAAUGACUUAAUCAUGUAAAGUGUAAAAGUUGAGUUCUAAUAGCUAAAGGUAUUAAAUAGCUAGAACUAUAAAGUGGAGGUCCUUAUAUGAUAAUUAUACCAUUAGAGUUGAUAGUGGAUUUUAAUGAUUUGGCAUUAUUGAAAUUUCAAUGAAUUAUUAAGGUUAAUUUCGGAAAUUAGUAAUUAAAGUUAUAAUUAAUUAAAUAAAACAAACUAUUAUCAUCCAUUAUCAUCAUCUUCUACUGAAUUUGAAGAUAAAACCUAGCCAUGGAAGCUUGAAGUUUUGGCAAGCUUAUUUUGCUCAAUUAGGUAUGCAUUUUUGUCCCGUUUUUAAUGAUUUCUAUAUUUUCGGGAUCGUUGUAGCUUAAUUUAGCUAGCCCGGGGACUAAUUUGCAAAAAUAUUAAACUAUUAGGGUUUUACCAUUGAUGAAUAUAUACGAGUUUUGAAUUUUGAUGCUAGAAAAUGAAUGGUUGUUGUUAUAUAAACAACUUUUGUAAAGGAAUUUUGUAUGAAAUUAUCAAUUAUGGGAUAAAUUGAAAAAUGUGAUAAAUUCAUUGUGAAAUUUGUGAAUUUGUGAAAUAUGUGGGCUUCUAUAAGCAUGUAUAAAAAUCGGCUAGGCUUGGGUAGGGAAAAAAUUGCAUGAGUUUCAUUUUCUGAGCCUAAGGACUAAAUUGUAAAGAAAUUAAAAGUAUAGGGGCAAAACGGUAAUUUUUCCAAAAUAUGUGUUGGACUAAAUUGAAUGUGAAAUAUAUUGAAUUGGGUUAAAUUUAUCCAUAUAGAUCCAGUCAGACCUCGUAUGAAGUUAGAUCGAGGCAAACAGAAAACUCAGAUUAAUCGCCUCCGUAUCUACGUAAACUCGUCGAGGUAAGUUCUUGUAAUUAAAUUGAGUAUUUGUAUGUUUUAAUUGAAUUAUAUGUAUGUAAUUUGUAUAAUUGUCAUGUAUAAAUACCGAUCGCAUAUCCGACGACGUACAACGAUUAUUGAGUCACGUUUGAACCUUAAGAAUUCGUAGGAUACAAAUGACAUGUCAUUAGGGUUACCGAUUCUUAGCUCGUAUGAGCUUACCGAGUUGUAGCUCGUGAAAGCUUACCGAUUCUUAGCUCGUAUGAGCUUACCGAGUUGUAGCUCGUGAAAGCUUACCGAUUCUUAGCUCGUAUGAGCUUACCAAUUUACAGCUCGUGAGAGCAUACCGAUUCAUAGCUCGUAUGAGCAUACAUGUACAGGAAUUGACGGAUUAUAGUUUAGCACACUAUAUAUGAGCUAACCCGAGUAUCCAACGAUAUUCUAAAUGGUUCAACGGGAAAUGUUUUGUUACGAGAUGAUAUGAGUUUGAUACGAACUAUUACAGGUAUAUACAUGAAAUAUAUAGUGAUGAAAUAAUAUGAUAUACUGAAAUAUGAAAUGGAUGAUACAUGUAUAUGAAACUUGCUUAAUUAUUAUGUUCAUCCAUGUUUAUUGGUUAUUAUAGGUGUUUUACAUGGCUAACAUGUUGGUGAAUAUGUGCUUAGGAUUUUGGCGAAAUUGAGUUGGGAUAUGCUAUGUUUACUUACCUUAAUUGUGACUAAAUGGUAAGUUAAAUUCUAUGUUAUAAGAACUUACUAAGCUUAAAUGCUUACUCUGUGUAUUUUUCAUGUUUUAUAGUGAAUUGGAAGCUCGUUUGAGUUGAAAGCUUGUCGGAACUAUAUCACACUAUCCAUCGGCUCUUUCGGUACAUUCAAUUGUUUAAUUUUGGUUAUAAUGGCAUGUAUAGUUUAUUUUGGCUAAUGUUGACCUAUAUGUGUUGUUGUGAUUGUGGCCAUAGGAUGUAGCUUGUGUUUUAGUAUAUUUUGGUAUAUAUAUAGGUAACAUUAUCAUGUUGAUGUGUGGCUUGAUCACUGCACUAAAGAUCAUGAUCUUUAGCGGCGCUUCUACCACAAAAGCCACUAAAGGUCAUGAUCUUUAGCGGCACUUCUACCACAAAUGCAACUAAAGAUCAUGACCUUUAGCGGCGCUUCUACCACAAACGCCGCUAAAGAUCAUGACCUUCAACGACGCUUUUACAACAAACGCCACUAUAAAGAUGACUUUUAGCGUCGCUUUUUUGACAAAUGCCACUAAAAACAUGACUUUUAAAAAAAUGUUUUAAUUAAAUAAUAUUUAUUUGUAUGAUAAAUAUUAUAUUAUGUUUUUUUUUAAAUUUAAACUUUAAACUAUAUACUUUUAAGGAUAAAAAAUAUUAAUUAAAUUAAAAUUUCUAUUAAAAUUUUAACUUUAAAGCUAAAUAUACAUUUCCAUGUAACAGAGAUAUAAAUUCGUACCCAUCUCAAAUAUAUCCUAUAAAAACUUGUCACAACUGUGAUAUAUAUUGUAUGCUUGAUAAUAUAUCAACCAUCUCAACCGCAUAUAUUUCAAGACCAUUCACAACUGUUAAACACCCAUUCUCACACAAAAAUUUGCUAAGUAUGACAGGCUUCAGAUUGUUGAGAAAAAUCAAUACAAAGAUUUAUAACUUCAAACUAUCAAACAAUUCCAUUCAUCUAAAGACAUCCUUAGAACAUUUAUGAGCACUAUGUCAUACUCAUUUAUCAGCUCUUAAAAAUUUAACAGCAUGUAUGACCUUGCAAUUCAAUUAAUCACCACAUUUCAUCCAGCAAGCACUUUAUUGGCUUUCUAUAAAAUUUAAGAUUCUUAGACUAUCCCCAGAAAUUAUUUUUCAGUCCAAAAAGAAUCCAACAGAAAAUUAUUAAUAGCAAUUGACUUGCUUAUUUAAAAUGACAAGCAAGUUAGUUACUGAUAUCAAGGGGAGGAUUUAGAUAUUCUAUUCCAUUGCUUAUCUGACCAUAUCGCUCCAUUAAAUCAACCACGUUUUGCAGAUCAUCUUUGGUCAAAUUUAGUCCAAGGUGAUUCACCUGCAUUUGACUAAUUUGUUUGACAAUUUUGGGAUCAUGCUGCUGAAAGUCUGCAAGCAGUACAAAUUACAGUUAGAUAAUUUGGUUAAAAUUGAUUAGUGCCUAAAACAUGAAUUUACCACCAAUUAAGAUGGAUUAGUUAAAUAUGAAACUCAGAGAAACAUAGGUAAACAUGUAAACUGAAUGGAAACACUUAAAUAACUGAUUCUUCGAAUUUCAGUAAGAAUAAAACAAGACAUUAAUGAGAUUGCUUAAACUAUACCGGUUCUCAUCCUGUAUAAAAGAAAAAUAAUAAAAAUAAAAUUGCAUAUAAAAAUGAAAUUAUAGCUCCAAAUUCCAAAAGAGACAUCAAUAAUUUCCACCACAAAGAUAGCAAACUACCGAAGCGUUUCACUAGUUAAAGCAAUUUCAAAGAGGAAAACUGGUUCGGUACUACCUCAAGGAUAAUUUAUUUAAAUUAUAUACUCCAUUGACUCGGUGAAUAUUUGAUUCUCUAAUAUAGUAUAAGUAGCUAGUUAUUAAUAUUAGAAGAAAUGACAUAACAAAAUUAUUAUUAAUUUUUCUUCAAAAAACAGUAAAUAUGAAUUUGAAUUAGAAAAAAUUUUACAAAAAAUGUAGGGCCAGCCAGAUGUUGCCAAGAGCACAAGGUAUUCUAGUAAAGUUAAAUGCUCAGAUAUUGAGAAGUGGUGGGUUUGAUAUAUCUCAUUUCUUACUAGUAAAGUUAUAGUUAAUGAUUUUUAAAAAGAAAGAAACUAAAGAGAUUUUAUGCAAGUUCUUUGUUCACCAGAUUCACAACUCAAGCCAGCAUAACCAACAAUCUAAUCAAAUAACAGGCAGCUAAAAUCAGCAGAUUAAAAUUAAUAUUAGCUAACAAAGAAGAAAAACCUAACAUUACUUCAUCAUUGAAAUGAAUAUUGUCUAAAUCUAAACCAGUUGGCAUAUGAAAGACCACAUGCAGAAUGAAAUAGAAAGAGACUACUGACUCACAAGGUAAGACCAUUCGCAAGUUUUCCAAAAUAAUUUGGAUCACAGAUAAAAGCUAAAUACAAACUAAUUUUUUGUUUCAGUUAAAGAGAAUCAUAUUGAUCCUAAACUCAAACAAACCUGAUGCAACUGUGCUCUUUUGUUGAAUAUUUUAUCUUCAUAGGACCCCACAGCUUGGAUAAAAUGCUCUACCCUGCUCAAAUUAGGCUGAAAUAAAAAUCAUACAGUCAAAAGCUUUAGUUUACUAGAUGAAAUUUGAUGACUGGAAUAAUAAGUGGCCAUCACGCAUAAGAUCAAUAGGCACAUUGCUUCCAUCAGUCAAAUAACCACCAAAUGAUCUAAAUUCCUUCUUGUAUACUGCCAUUAACAAGUUGAUUGCAUCCUGAAAUUAACAAAUUGAAAAGGGGAAGGAUUUCAAUUAAAACCUUGGCUUCAUAUAAAAGCCCUAAAGUUACAUUCAAAAUCACAAUAUAAAAAUACAACCCAACAAUAGAAUAAUUACUUCAACAUACAAACCUCACGAAUCUCGAGUGUAGGCAUAUGAGGUAAGAAAUCAUUGCCAAUAAAGAAGCAUAUGAAUAUAAAAUCAUCCACAAUGCAUUCCAAGUCUUCCAAGUCAUUUUCAAAAGGAGGAUUGGGGAUUCUCAUCUCAUAUUCCAGAUACUCCCUAAGGGUCCAUAUGUUCAAGAACUGCAAAGAUGAAGCAAAUAACAAGUUCUAAUUUUUCCAAAGAAUUCAUUAUAAUAAUUCCAACUGUAAAUUCAUUUGCAAAGUAACUUGAUAUGGCUUUCUGGCCACAGCUUUUCCAUCAGCUUUCUCAUCAAAUUCUCAUUCCUUCCUCUUUGCAUUUCCUUCACAAUUUGCUGCUAUAUGGUCCAUCUGACCGCAUAUGAAGCAUUUAUCUUGCCCAGGGGUGAAGACAAUCUGAAAAUAUUUCAUAAACCCUGUUACUUUUGAGCCAAAAGGAAACAUGAUAAUAGAAUGAUAAAACAUCCUUCGAAGAAAAUUCAUUUAAGUGGCAACAUCUACUUACUCCUACAAACAAGUAAAAUAGCCAACCUUAGGUAGAAGUUACAAAAUUAAAGAAAACUAGAUCAUAGAUAUUAUUUUGCAAUGUAAAAUAUAUGAACCUCUCGAAGGAUUGAAAAGUGAACUUCAUGAGUGGCCAAGGCCAACAUAAUUAAAUCAGCAUCCUGUCGUAUUUCAACAAUAAGCAGAGUGCAUGAUCUUAGUCCACUAAAGUAGGCCAAAGAAAAUAAACAGAACACAUGCUUAAAUUGACUUUGCUAUAGAUAUCCGAGUACCCAGAUCCCAUAAUCAACAAAUAAUCAAACAAUAAGUGCCUCAAAAAUCAGGAAAAAUGAAAAAGGACAGAGAUUUGGAAAAAGAAACUUACUUCAUGGAUUGAAGAUGUCUACGAAACAAAGGCUUGGAGUGAAACGGAGCAGAAGAUCUUAAACGGCUUCGAUUUAAGCCCAUAAAACAACCAAGAAAAACUGCCUAAAAUCCUGGAAAUAUGUAUUUCCAGCUUCAAUGACGGAUCUGGAACACCCACUUGCCUCGUUGAAACAAUAAGACUCCAACCGUCCAGGGACUCAUCUAAGAAAAAAACAAAAAAAUCAGGCAAAAAAGCAAAGAGAGAGCAAGAGAGAGAGGGGGACCUAGUUUGAAGAAGAAGGUUGAAGGUGAGUUCGUUGUUUCUAGGGAUUUAGCUACUUUGGGAGGCAUUGCUUUAGGAUUUCGCGCAGAGCUGAGGGAGUAAUAGUGUGCUGAGGUGAUUAUUUUUAGGGGGAAAAUUAGGGGCUUCAGGGGGGAAUUUAGGGAUAAAAUGGCGCCAUUUUUUUAAAGUAAAAUGUUUUUAUAAAAAACGCCGCAAUUGCUUAUCUUUUGCGGCAUUUUUCAUAAAAACGCCGCAAAAAAUUAUUUCAUUUUGAUCAAUACGACGCGUUUUGCUCUGUUAAAAAUUUUUUAUUUUGUCUGCUAAAAAUUAUUAGUUAUGUGAUUUUAUAAAAUAUUUUUUAUAACUAUUUUUUAUAAACUGGAUUUUUAUUAAAAAAAACCAAGUACUCUCAAAAUAAAUAUAGUAUAUUUUAAUAAUUUAAACCAUUUAAUAAUUUAAACUAUAAUAAAAUUGAUCUAUAAUAAAACAAAUCUAAAAUAAACCUUAAAUCCUAAAUCAUUUAAUAUAUAUAUAAUUGAUCUAUUAUCUCUUAAAUAAUUUAAACUAUAAUAAUAAUUUUAAUAUAUUAAAAUUAAUAUUAUCUCUUUUACAAUUAUAUAAGAAAUUAUUUAAUAUAUAAAUUAAAAAAUACUAAUUAAUCUAAACCCUAAAUCCAUGUCUCUUAAACCCUAAAUCAUAAAACAUAAACUCGUAACCCUAACCCCUAACCUCUAACCAUUAACCCCUAACCCCUCUUUUACAAUUAUAUAAUAACUUAAUUAGUAUAUAAAUUAAAAAAUACUAAUUAAUCUAAACCUUAAACUCUAACCUAACCCCAAAUUUCUAAACCCUAAAUCAUUGACUCUUAACCCCUAACCCCUAACCCCUACCUAUUAAGCCCUAAACCUUAUUUAAUAUAUAAAUUAAAAAACACUAAUUAAUCUAAAUCCUAAACUCUAGCCCUAACCCGAAUCCCUAACCCCUAACCCUUAAACCUUAUUAAUAUAAAUUAAAACACACUAAUUAAUCUAAACCUUAAACCCUAACCUGACACCGAAUCCAUAAACCUUAAAUCCCUAACUAUUAAUCUCUAACCCCUAACCCUUAACCCCUAAAUCACAACCCUUAAACCAAAAUUCCUAAUCCAUAGUCCCUAAUUCCAUAAUCUAUAAACCUUAAAAUUGUAACUCCUAAACCGACCUUAAAUCCUAAAUUAACCAUAUACCUUAAACCAUAUAUAUUACACCCUAAACUAUAAUAAUAAUUAAUUAAAUAUUUUAAAAUUAAUACUAUCGUAUCUUUUACAAUUAUAUAUGAAAUUAUUUAAUAUAUAAAUUAAAAAUCAAUCAGUCAUGUACCCAAAAAAUUUUAAAAUUAUUUUAAAUAAUAGUAUUUUAAUUUUUCCAUUUUUAACAAAUAUUUUUUAUGUUUUUUAUUUCAAAUUAUUUCUACGUGUUAUUAUUUUAAAUUUAUCCAUUUUUAACAAAUAUUCAAUUAAAAAUAAAUUGAAUUUUAAUUAAUAUAAAUAAACAAAUUAAAUAGUAAAUAGACAUGUAAAAUGUUUUUGCGGCGCUUUUCAGGUCUGAGCAUUAGCGGCGCAUUUCUAAAAACGCCGCUAAAGCUCUAAGCAUUUGCGGCGCUUUAUUAAAAACGCCACUAAAAGCUAAAGCAUUAGUGGCGCUUUUGAAAAAACGCCGCUAAAAGCUAGAGCACUAGCGGCGCUUUUGAAAAAACGCCGCUAAAGCCCCGAAAGGUCAGAAAACGGUGUCGUUGGGCUUAGGUUUUUUGCGGCGUUUUUCCAAAAAACGCCGCUAAUGCUCGAUUUUUAGCGGUGUUUUUUGUCCAAACGCCACUAAAAAUGCCGCUAAAAGCCUGUUUUGGUGUAGUGGAUAUGGCAGAAUGAUGGAAGGUAAAAUGGUCGUUUGAAUAUGCAUUUUGUAUAAGCUUUGAAGCUUGAUUGAAUUGUUGUGAAUUGGUACUUAUUUGAAUGGCUUAUUUGGUGUUUUAAGUGUACAAGUUAUAUGUGAAUUAUAUAACCAUUUGAUGCUAGUGAUUAAGUGGUAUAAUUGGUACCAAAUGGUAUAUUUUGAUAAUUGAUCUACAUGGUAAGUUUUGGUGCAAAUAUGCAUUUAUGUUAGUUGAUCAAUUGGUUAUAUUGAACACAUGAUUAGUCAUGUUUAUAAAUUGUCAUUUGAGGUGCCUAAGGGCAUAUUGGUUGUAUGUGAUCAUACCAUUUGUAUAAGGCUAGAAAAUGCAUGGUUUUGGUACCUUAUUAUGGCUUGCUUAUAUGCAUAGUGUUAGGUGUAGGUUUAUGCCAAAUUGGGUGAGAAAUAUGGCUUGUAAAAUGGCCUAUUUUUGUCCAUACCGGUAGAGACACGGGCAUGUGUCUCAGCAGUGUGUGACACACGACCAGGUGACACAGCCGUGUGUCCCUGUAGCUUUCAAAGGGUUACGAGCCAGGUUGUUACACGGCCUAGCACACGGCCUGGCACACGGGCGUGUGAGGCUACUUCGAAGGGUACACGGCUUGGUACACGAACAUGUGGCUUAGCCGUGUGGCCCAAGUCAGUGAGUUACACGGGCACGGACAUGGCCUGGGACACGAUCGUGUGUCCCUAUUUUGAAUGCCCACAUGGCCUAAGACACGGGUGUGUCUCUUGGCCGUGUGAGUCACACGGCCUGGCCACACAUCCGUGUGAGUCACACGACCUGGCCACACGGCUGUGUGACCCCUACAGCUUUGAAAAUUUUCAAUGUUUUCCGAAAAAUUCUUUGAGUUUCCGAUUUAGGCUCCGUUUCUUUUCCAGUAAAAUGUUUUCUGGAAAAUGAUUUCUGGAAAAUGAUUUAAUUUUUUGGAAAUGAUUUACUUUUCUGGUGUUUGGAUGAAUCUGUGUAAAAUAUUUUCUGUUCUUUAGCAGAUUUCCUGAAAAUAUUUUUCGAAAAAGCUAUUGAGCAAGCCUUUUCUGUUGACAUCAAAAUUCUGUUUCACGAAGUGAAUUAGAAACCCUUUGGUGAACUUGCACCAAGCUGUAGUGGAACAAAGAACCUCAAUCCCUGAAUGGAGUAACAGUUGUUUCUGUGGUAUCUAUUAAGUUGGGAACAGUGGAAAAUUCAAGGCACACCGUAGAAAAUAUUAAUCAAGCAAGCAUCGUAUUUACUACAGGAUUUAAAAGAAAAAAAAAUGCUAUAUUUGCUUUAUCCUUUUGGACGACGAUAUACAGUUUUCUGUUCUUUUCAGUAUGAAGCAUAUGUUAAAACAAUCUCUAUCAUAGUUACAAAGAUGAACUAUAUAUAAUUCUCUUACCAUAAAUUUAGACUCUAACUAAUUGUGGUUCUUUACAGACAAAUGUUUUACCACAGCUAGAGAUGCUUUGGGCAAAAGCUUCCUCCAUUUACUGUGUUCUUUCUGUCUGGCAAAGUAUCUUCUAUAAACAUAAAGGGAACCAAAUCUUGCAAGGCAAAGUCAAAAUCUGGAAAAACAUCCAAAAGAAAAUUCUAAUUUAAUAUAAGAAAAAGCAUAAGUUGCAGUUUGUAUGUGUUUAUUACUAUAGGUCAUGUAAUAAAAUGAAACAAAUGCAAGGUAAUAGCAAUAAAAAAACUGUGAAUGGUGAGUUGCAGGCUCUUUGUUAUUUAAGAAAAAAUAGACAGUACUGUAAAACAUAGGAAAGAAAAAGAUAUGCUGGUACAAUAUUCUGAAAAUAACCAUGCAACACAUACCUAUUAAAGCUAUUUUCAACUUUGACUUUCUCAAGGUCCAGACCAGAGCUAAACUUUUUCUACAACGUUCAUCUGAGUUGCACAUUUAAGAAGGCUUCUGUAUUCAUUACUUCUUGACCACUCAUCAAACUCACGUGCAUGUAGAACAGGCAGAGGAUGUGAAAGUUGCCGCGUUUGAGCAUUUCUGGACAUCAUUAGUUAAUUAGACACAACCAAAAUGAAAAUUGUAGGCCAAUUUUUAAUGCUUUACCUUAUAUAGUACCCAACUGGGCUCGAAGAAGCUUUAUCAUAAGAGCGAGCUUGCUGUAAAAAUGCAUCCAUAUUUAGCUGAUCAGCCAUUGAUGGGCAGCCACCAGCUAAUUUCAUUAAAAUAGAGAUGACAACCUCUUGUAGGUGCACCACAAAGAAAAUCAGAUAACGAAAUCUCAACUAUAUAAUUGCAGAUUGUGUUGGCUCAGAGAAUGAUAUUUCAUACCUUGGGAACUUGUGCAACGAGAAGGGCUGCACGAUCACAAGUAAGCUCUGCUGCCCUAAGCCAACGGAAUAACUGUUCCUCUAAAGUCUGAGCUAGAAAGGCACCACAGAUAUAUGCCACAGGCUCAUAGCCAAAAGCUUGAGUUGUUUAGGGAAAAAAUAAAUCUUUUGGAGGAUAAUGUGCCACCAAAGUUAAACGUUAAUCCUAGUUCUUGUAAGGACAAUCAUCCUCAAGAUUCUCUUGUUCUUCUCCUCAGUGAACACCACAAGAUGCAUACCAGCCAAGUUGUUUUCUCAAUCGUAUAAUGUACUCCACAACAAUAUAUGAAGCCCUCCUCCAAAAGUCAAGUGCAAUAGACUAAACCAAAGAAUCACUUAUCCUAAAAGCCAUAAGCUCCUUUGCUUUGACUGAGAUGUUUUCUCGAGUAUAAUGUGCUCUAGCUAAACUAAAAUUGUAUCACAGUAGCUAAGUUGCCACAACUGAUGGAAAGAACUAAAAUCAUACUAGGAACAGUAUAGGCUCCAAGAGUGAGAAGAUUUGCAAAGGUAAGCCACACACCAUGAUCACAUUUGAGAUGACCCAACUCAUGAGCCAAAACAGCCUAUUUCAAAGUUGAAAAGAACUAAAUUAAUGGUACUUUAUCUUUUAAAACACAGCACUACUAUGGAAAAUAAAGCACAUCUAAUCUGAUUUAGACAUUUAUAAUCACAUAUAUGAAUAUGGAAACAUUUUGUAAUAGAAAACUAGCGUCUUAGAGGAUUCAAGCAGCAGUCAGUACAGUAAAAGGGAAAACCAAAAUGGACAGCGAGUUUAAGUCAUUUAGUAAAAGAGAACGAGAAAGGAGUGAAGACCUGCAAUUCGUUUCGCGUCAGAAGCUCCACAAUACUAGUAUGAAUGACAACAAAUGGUUUUUUACCACUUAUAGCUAGUGUAUAAGCAUUUGGAACAGGACUUUGCCGAACAUAAAGAUCAGGAGAUUCAAUAUUCAAUAUUCCCGCAGCUUCAAUCAUCAUUUUAUGAAGUUUAGGAAGCUGAUACAAGAAAUUAAAAGUCAAUAAUUUGAAACAGUUUGCGUUGGAUACAACCGAUCAAAACAACUUUAAACAACAAUCUUCUAAACAUCAAAUAACCUGAUCUUUCGAAACAAGGACUGAAGUCCCUAUAUUCUCAAGAAACAUGAUUUGCUUUGUGACAGUUCAUGCUACAAAGCAUUAAGGGAAAAAAAGCUACUUUAACAUUCAUUCUCAAGGAAUCUGUUGGGUAUAUGAUGAAGGAAAGACUGAAACUGAAGCAAAAACAAAAUAAAAAUGGAGAAAUCAAAUUGUGAACAAUUGUUUCAUUACCAGAACCAGAGGAUUUUUGUUUUAUGGUCAUGUUUGUCUGUAAAAAAGAGUAGAACUUCAGCUUUCAAUUUUUUUCAUUCUUACCUUCGAGAGAGGAAGAUGAACGCCAGUGCAGAUUUUGACAAUGAAAGGCGAAAAUGGGGAAAAGCUUUGAUGAACGCUGGUGUCUGGUGUUGAGAAUCGGUGUUGGCUGACGGCAAGCAGAAGAUCAGGUGUUAAGGACGGGGGAAGGGGGGAAAGGGAAAGGGAAGAUCGGUGUUGGCUUCUAAUUUUCCUGAAAAUGUCUUACCGAAUUAGAAAGGAUAAGAUAUUUUCCAAAAUUAAGGGCUUCUUUUCUCGUGUUUUAUAAUUGAUUUUACCUUGGGAAAAUAUUUUCAGCCAAACAAACACCGGAAAAGGCUUUACUUCCAAACAAACGGACCCUUGGUCUCGACUUGUUUCUAACACGUAUUUAGGACCUCAAGGGCUUGUAUAAGGGAUAGUAUGUAUGAUUUUGAUUGGUUUUGAUAUGAAUAAAAAUAUGUUAUGAAAUGUUUGAAAUUUUUGCCCGUUUAAUUUGAAAUCUUUGGUAAUACUCUGUAACCCUGUUUCGGCAAUGAAUUCGGGUUAGGUGUUACAAAAGGUGUCUUGUAUGCUAUUAUGUAGGCCAAUAAAGCGCCAUCCAAUCUUUUGGAUCAAUCUCAUCGGUUUGGACAAACUACCUUCUCAAGUAUGCCUUUUAUAUCUUUGUUUGCCAGUUCAACUUGCCCAUUUGUCUACGGAUGGUAAGCUGUGGUAACAUUGUGCUUCACCUCAUAUUUGUCGAGUAACCAUUUCAACCAUUUGUUCGCAAAAUGGGAGCCCUCAUCACUGAUGAUAGCCCUAGGAGUUUCAAACCUUGUAAACACAUGUUUCUGCAAAAACUUCAUCACAACCAUGGCAUCGUUCACCGGAUAUGCCUCAGCCUCAAUCCACUUAGAUACGUAGUCUACUGCUACCAAUAUAUAUUUGUGACCAAAAGACGGAGGGAAAGGACCUAGAAAUUCAAUACCCCAAACAUCGAAUAAUUUUACCUCAAUGAUGUUUGUUCGGGGCAUCUCAUUUUUGUUGGUAAUGUUUCUAACCCUCUAGUACCGAUCACAACUCUUUAUGUAUGCAUACACAUCUUUGAAUAACGUUGGCCAAAAUAAUUCAGCUUGCAAUACUGUGGAUGCAGUGCGUGUACCUCCGAAGUGUUCCUCACUCAAAGUUGUGUGACAACGAUAUAAGAUCUUAUGUACCUCGUUUUUUGCCACGCAUCUCCUAAUCAUUUGAUUUGCGCACUUUUUGAACAAAUAUGGCUCUUCCCAAAAAUAGUAUUUCACAUCAUGAAGAAACAUUUUCUUUUGUUGAUAUGUAAUAUCAAUCGGCAUUAAACCACAAGCUAAAUAGUUAGCAAAAUUAGCAAACCAAGGGGUGUUAUGGACAUGAUUUACCUUAAGUAUGUGCUCGUCUGGAAAUGUCUUCUGGAUGGGUAUGAGAGAUGAAGUUCCUUCUUGUGGCUCCAAUCUAGAUAGGUGAUCUAUUACUUGAUUUUCUACCCCUUUUCGAUCUUGAAUUUCUAGAUCAAAUUCUUGGAGUAGAAGUACCCAUAGGAUCAAUCUCGGCUUGGCAUCUUUGUUGGCAAGUAAAUAUUUAAUUUUCAAAUGACCCGUAUAGACAGUCACUUUGGUACCUAAAAAAUAAAAUUGAAACUUGUCAAAAGCAAACACAAUAGCAAGUAACUCUUUCUUUGUUACCAUAUAGUUUAAUUGAGCUCCUGUGAGAGUCUGACUUGCAUAGUAGAUGGGAUGAAAAACUUUGUUCCUUUGUUGCCCUAUCACAACUCCUAUCGCGAAGUCACUUGUGUCACACAUCAAUUCAAAUGGAAAAUCUCAAUCUAGUGUGACGAUGAUGGGUGUUGAAACUAAUUGAUUCUUUAAAUCAUUAAAUGUCUUCAAACAUUUUUCAUCAAAGUGGAAUAUCGUGUCCUUCUCUAAUAAUUUGCAUAAAGGUUUAGCGAUUUUGGAGAAGUCUUUAUUAAAUCUUUGAUAGAAUCCGGCAUGUCCCAAAAAACUCCUAACACCCUUUAUAGAUGUUGGAGGUGAGAGUUUCUCGAUAACAUCUACCUUUGCUUUAUCUACCUCGAUUUUAUGUCUCGUUAUCCCAGAACAAUACCUUAUUGUACCAUGAAGUAACACUUUUCCCAUUUGAGUACAAAGUUUGUUUCUUCGUACAGCCUUAGUACAUUGUCUAGAUUGGCUAAGAAAUUAUCAUAAAUGUCUCCAAACACUGAAAAAUAGUCCAUAAAAACUUUCAAAUACUUCUCAACCAUGUUAGUAAAAAUAGACAUCAUAUAUCUUUGAAAUGUAAUAGAUGCAUUGUAUAAAUCAAAUGGAAAGCGUCUAAAUGCAAAUGUACCGUACGGGCAUGUGAAUGUUGUUUUAUGUUGAUCCUCUAGUGCUGCUGUGAUCUGAUUGUACCCUGUGUAACCAUCAAGAAAAUAGUAAUAGUCUUGCCCCGCGAGUAUAUCCAACAUCUAGUCCAAGAACGGCAAAGGAAAAUGAUCUUUCCUAGUCACCUUGUUCAACUUUUGGUAAUCUAUGCAGAUUCUUCAUCCCAUAACCAUUAUGGUCGAUAUUAACUCGUUAUUCUCAUUUUCAAUAACCGUAAUACCUAUUUUCUUUGGCACGCACUGGACUGGACUUACACAUGAACUAUUUGAGAUGGGAUAAAUUAUACUCGAAUUUAACCACUUAAUGAUUUCUUUCUUCACCAUGCCCUUCAUAAUGGGGUUCAGUCUUCAUUGUCAUUCCUUUCCUAUCAUCUUCUAGGAUGAUUUUAUGCAUGCGAAUGAAUGGGCUAAUACCAUGAAUAUCGACUAUGGUCCAUCCAAUAGCCUUAUUGAAUUGUUUCAAAAAUGAAAUGAGUUUCUCUUAUUGCUCUUUAGUUAACUCUACUGAAACAAUCACAGGCAAAGUCAAAGCGUUACCUAAAUAAACAUAUUUUAAGUGCAAGAGAAGUACCUUAAGUUCUAAUUUAGGUGGCUCUACGAUUGAUGCUUUUGGUUGGACAUAAUCUCUACUUUCUAACUCCAAAGAUUCAGAGCGAGAAUGCAGAUUAAAUCCCCUUUGAUUUGCUUCUAGCAAAGCUAAGUAUUCCUCCCCUCUUCAUCACUUGGAGGGUCUGACAUCAAAAUUUGUUCUAAUGGGUCCUCAACAGAGUUGAGUUCCCAUUCUACAGCUAAAUCCUCUAACUCAGAUACUGUAGAACAACCAUCAACUAUGUCAGGGAAUUUCAUAGACUUAAAAAUAUUAAAAGUUACUUGAUCGUCCUGAACACGUAUAGUUAGCUCGCCCUUCUACACAUCAAUAAGGGUCCUUCCAGUUGCUAGGAAAGGUUUUUCUAGGAUGAUUGGAACCUCUUUAUCUGCUUCAAAUUCUAAAAUAACUAAGUCAGUAGUAAAAAUAAAUUUGUCUACACGUACCAAUACAUCAUCAAUUUUUCCUUCUGGAUGUGCUAAGGAUUGACCUACUAGUUGAAGUGUAACCGUAGUAGGUCUAACUUCACCUAUCCCCAACUUCCUCAAUAUAGACAUGGGCAUCAAGUUGAUGCUUGUGUCACGGACUUAGAAUUUUUUCAUGCGAUCCGUGCGGCCUUAGGCAUUUUCUUUGCUUAAAAACGCCUAAGUCAGCCUAACUUGCAAUGAUAACGAAUUCAACAGUAAAAACACCUAAGUCAGCUUAAUCUCGCAAUGAUAAAGGAUUCAACAGAAUUCCCCCAAGGCACCCACGAAGAACAGUGGAAUAACGAAGUAAGAACGAACUUUGAAAGAUGAACAAAAGCAAGAAUGCUUGGGAGAAAAGUUUGAGUGAACACUCUCAAAAUUCUUAUUAAUAACUGAAUGCCUUACAAUAAGCAAAGAGGUCUCUAUUUAUAGUUGAGCCUCAAAGUACAUCAAGGGCUACAAUUAAAAGCUGUAUACAAUUAGAACUCUAAGACACAAUUAGAAGCUGUAUACAAUUAGAACUCUAAGAUUUUAUAAUCAUAUCUUCUUGGAUCACUUCCCAUAUUUAUCAGGCUCUUGAGAUGGGAUUUUAAUCUCUCCAGGCAACGGGUUAGUUUGGUUGGGCCAAAUGACAUCCCUCAAACAUGAUGGAUCACACAAGUUUACCAUGGUUGCGUGCUCCCAUGCACAACCCAUGACAUUCUCCCCCACUUGUUCUAGCGACACCCUCGUCGCAUCUUCCUUAUAGAAUUGGUCAAUCUUCCCUUGGAACUGCCACAAUGCCUCGGCAGGUUCCCAACUUGCUUCGCUAUCAGGAAGUCCCUUCCAUCGAACUAAGUACUCAUGCUGUGGUUGGUGGUACUUUUGUCUAAUUACCUGAUCUGCCUCAAUGUUUUCGACUUCACGAUCGUACGACACCUUUACCCCUGUCGGUGCUCGUUCGGACUUGCCUCUAUUCGGAUCCUCUUGAUCCCCAUGAAAUGGCUUAAGCAUGCUUACAUGGAAGACCGGGUGGACUUUAAGUUUUGUUGGCAGCUCAAGCUUGUAGGCCACCUUGCCUACUCUCUUCACAACUUUGAACGGCCCCUCAUACCUUCGCACAAGACCCUUGUGCAAGCCAGUAUAUCGCAAAAUCAAGUGUAGUUUAGCGAGGACUGAGUCACCCACUUGAAAUUGCCCAUCCCUUCAUUUUUUAUCAGCCGACUUCUUGCUACGCUUACUUGCCUUGUGUAAACAAGCUCUAGCCAAGUCAUUCUUCUCUUGCCAAUCUUUUGCGAAUCGAUAGGCUGCCGGAUUUGGUCCUGUAUAAUGGGUCACAACAGCGUUGGGUGUGAGUGGUUGUUGACCCGUCACUAUUUCAAAUAGACUUUGAUUCGUGGCCCCACUUCACUACAAGUUGUAUGAAAAUUGGGCCACAUCCAACAACUUUGGCCAAUCCCUUUGUGUGGCACUUACGUAGUGUCGAAGAUAUGUCUCCAACAAUGCAUUUACUCGUUCAGUUUGCCCAUCGGUUUGUGGAUGCAUGCUCGUCGAGAAGUUCAAAUCUGAGCCCAUUGACUUGAACAACUCCGUACAGAACCGGCCCGUAAAUUGCCCAUCUCGAUCACUGAUAGUAGAAAGUGGCACUCCCCAAUAUUUCACCACGUGUCUAAGAAACAACCGAGCUGCUUCCUCAGCAGGGCACUCCUUGGUCGCCAGAAUAAAUGUCGCAUACUUUGAAAACCUGUCCACCACAACAAGAAUACUCCCAAACCCGUCAGACUUAGGCAAACUAAUAAUAAAAUCCAUGGAUAAACUCUCCCAUGGUCUUUUCAGAACUGGCAAGGGUUGAAGCAAACCGACUGGAGUCUUUAACUCAACCUUGUCUUGUUGGCACACUAGACAGGUUUUCACAUAGGUUUCCACAUCAGCACCCAUGUGAGGCCAGUAAUAACUUUCCUCCAAAAGGGCCAAAGUGCGAUGCAUCCCUGGAUAGCCUGCCCAUUUCGUGUCAUGACACUCCUUCAUGACUUCCUUAUGGAGUUUCCCAUAAUGGGGCACAUAGAGGUGGUGUCCAUGAGUGUAUAACAGCUCCUCAUCAAGCCAAAAUCUUCUUGUUUUUCCCUCAUUGGCAAUCUCAAUCAAAUUUUUGGCCGUGGGAUCAUGGGACAAUCCCUCUCGAAUGCGUUCCAACAAAGAACCAUCAGGUUGACUAAUUGCUGCAAAUCCCAUCUUUCGACUGAGCGCAUCAGCCACAAUGUUGGCACUUCCUGGUUUAUAUUCCAUUGUGAAAUCAAACUCCGCUAGUAAAACCUGCCAACGAGCCUGCUUGGGAGACAACUUUUUCUGGGUUAGAAAGUAACUAUUGGCAACAUUAUCAGUAAGGACCACGAACCUGGAACCCAAUAGAUAAUGUCCCUAUGUGCGCAAGUAGUGUACUACCGCAGUCAUCUCUUUCUCUUAGACCGUAUAUCUACGCUCCGUCUCAUUAAGCUUUCGACUCUCGAAAGUAAUUGGGUGCCCAUCUUGCAUCAGUACUCCCCCUAUAGCAUAAUUUGAUGCAUCCGUGCGUACCUCAUAAGGCUUCGUAAAAUCCGACAAGGCAAGUACGGGUUCCCUCAUCAUUUCUUGCUUCAAUUGAUUAAAGGCCUUCUCACAUUCCGGUUUCCAAUCACAUACCUUCCCCUUUUUCAAAAUGUCCGUUAAGGGAGUGGUAAUUCUAGAGUAGCCUUCAACAAAGCGUCGAUAGUAAUUUGCCAACCCAAGGAAGGACCUCAAUUCUGUUACUUUGGUUGGAGGCUCCCACUCUGAAAUGGAUCGUACCUUGCUCUUAUCCAUUCGGAUCUUACCACCUCCCACAAUGUGGCCUAGGAAUGACACCUCUUGUUGGCCAAAUAAGCAUUUCUCCUCCUUGAUGAACAGCUCAUUUUCCCUCAAAGUUUGGAGCACCUCCCUCAAGUGUCCCAUGUGCUCUUCAAGAGACUUGCUAUACACGACGAUAUCAUAAAGGUAAACAACCACAAAACGAUCAAGAAAUGGUUGAAGUACCUUAUUCAUUAGGGUGCAAAAUGUAGCUGGGGCAUUCAUGAGUUCGAAAGGCAUCACCAGGAACUCAUACGAACCGUACCGUAUCACACAAGCUGUCUUUGGUUCAUCUCCCUCGGCUAUCCGAACUUGAUGAUACCCCGAUCUCAGAUCUAACUUGGUAAACCAUCUUGCACUACCAAGCUGAUCAAACAAAUCUGCAAUAAGAGGAAUAGGGUACCUAUUCUUCAUAGUGAUCUUGUUUAGAGCUCGAUAAUCGAUGCAUAUUCUCAAGGACCCACCAUGUUUCUUUUGGAACAACACUGGGGCACCGUAUGGAGAUUUAGAUGGCCUAAUGAAUCCCGCAUCUAAAAUUUCCUUCAAUUGUUUUCGCAACUCUUCUAAUUCUGGCGGAGACAUAUGAUAGGGGGCCCUUGUUGGCGACACCACAUUGGACACUAACUCGAUUUUGUGGUCCACCUCCCUCUUGGGUGGCAAACUUUUGGGCAAUUGAGCAGGCAUUAUAUCUCGGAAUGAUUGCAACAAUUGACCCACUUCUUUCGGGGUCUCACUAACAGUCUCAGCGGUCUCUUCGAUCUUCAAGGUUGCUAAAUAUGAGACUUCAUUUCUACGUACACCUUUAGCAAACUGAAUUGCCGACAGUGUUUUUCCUUCAAAGCUUCUCUUCCUUGUUACUUUCACCAUGCAUUGAUGUUUCGUAUCCGAAAUCACCAUGUAAUUACUCGAAGGGGCAAUAAGAGCAUUACCUGAUCUAGAAAGCUUAGUCCAACCACAAAAUCAUAACCAUCAAGCGGUAUUACCUUAAUGGAUACCUUCCCAGACCAUUUGCCGAGCUGAAGAUCCACUCCCUUUGCAACCCCCUUAAUUGGAACACUUUCUGAGUUCACUAUUUUGAUCCGACCCACUUCAUUAUCUAUCUUGAGGCCUAGUUUACAAGCAGCCUCCUCAGACAUGAACAAAUCAGAAGCACCUGUGUCAAUGAGCGCAUUCAAUUUCCUGCCAACCACAAUGAUGUCUACAAACAUCAAACCAUGGCUCAUUCUAUCUUUAACACCCCUUAGUAUCAAACCAAGAUUGUUAUCCUCCGCAUUGGACUCCCCCUUUGCUUCCAUAGCCGCGAGAGCAGCCUUCUUUGGGCAGUCCUUGAUCAUAUGUGGAUCAUCUCAGUGAAAGCAACUUAUAGGCCCACUCUUUUUCUUGUCCCAAGGCUUCUUACCAUUGCCGUUCCUAGUGGGGCUUUCUUUAUCUCCCCCAGUAUUACCCUUUUGAUUAAAUCUGGCUUUAGAAGAAUUGGCAUUGUCUUUCCUCCCACCAAAUUCAGCAAGCGAUUCUGCGACGGACAUAGCCUUGGUGAGUUCUUGAACUCCUCGGCGUUGCAACUCCUACUUCGCCCACGGUUUUAAUCCGUCCAUGAAGGAAAAGAAUGCCUCUUUCUCCCCCAUAUUUGAGAUUUGAAGCAUAAGUUCGCUAAACUCCUGCACAUACUCCCUCACAGUGCUUUGUUGCGCAAGUCGACGCAACUUUGCCCGAGCCUCAUCCUCGGCAUACUCUGGGUAAAACUAUGCUUUGAACUCACAUCGAAACUCCUCCUAAGUUUCAAUUUUGGUCCCACCACGUCUCACAUCAGUGGACCUACGACGCCACUAUAACAAAGCAACGUCAGAUAAAUACAUCGCAGUAGUAGUUACUUUAGUGACAUCCUCUGUGAUCCCUUUGGCACGGAAGUAUUGCUCGAUUCCCCACCAAAAGUUGUCCACAUCUCUUGCGGACCUUGUUCCCUUGAACUCCUUGGGCUUAGGAACAUCAAUAUUGGGCUUGGGUGCGACAGCAGCUAACCCACCAUUGCCCAAAGUAGCCUUGUAGAUUGUGAGUUCACCCUUGAGCUCUGUAAUCUCCCCUUUCAAGGCCGCCACCAUAGUCUCAAUGGCAUCAUCUCUACCCGUCAACUGUUCCACAAUGUCCAAGACAUACACUUUGAGCUGCUCCUGCAUGGACUGCAAUCCAUCAUGGAGCCUAUCAUCAACAUCAUCAAUCCUCUCCUUGAUAUCCCCCACGGAAUUCUCGAGAGUGACAACACGAUCCCCUAAAGCUGACAAUAUGUCCCUCGAGCGACUAGCUUUCCUAGCCCUCCCAUGGGUCUCCAUUCCCUCAACAUUCCCAGAAACUUCUUUCGACAUCUUUCAAUGGUCAUUUCGAACCUUAGCUCGGAUACCAACUGUCACGGACUUAGAAUUUUUUCAUGCGAUCCGUGUGGCCUUAGGCAGUUUCUUUGCUUAAAAACGCCUAAGUCAGCCUAACUUGCAAUGAUAAUGAAUUCAACAGUAAAAACACCUAAGUCAGCUUAAUCUCGCAAUGAUAAAGGAUUCAACAGAAUUCCCUCAAGGCACCCACGAAGAACAGCAGAAUAACGAAGUAAGAACAAACUUUGAAAGAUGAACAAAAGCAAGAACGCUUGGGAGAAAAGUUUGAGUGAACACUCUCAAAAUUCUUAUAAACAACUGAAUGCCUUACAAUAAGCAAAGAGGUCUCUAUUUAUAGUUGAGCCUCAAAGUACAUCAAGGGCUACAAUUAAAAGCUGUAUACAAUUAGAACUCUAAGACACAAUUAGAAGUUGUAUACAAUUAGAACUCUAAGAUUUUAUAAUCAUAUCUUCUUGGAUCACUUCCCAUAUUUAUCAGGCUCUUGAGAUGGGCUUUUAAUCUCUCCAGGCAACAGGCCAGUUUGGUUGGGCCAAAUGACCUCCCUCAAACAUGAUGGAUCGCACAAGUUUGUCAUGGUUGCGUGCUCCCAUGCGCAACCCAUGACACUUGCACCCAAAUCACAUAGUGUCUUACCAUAAUAAGUUUCUCAAAUGUUGCAAGGUAUGGUAAAACAUCUAGGGUCCAUCAUCUUUGGGGGGUAGUUUAUUUUGAAUAUAUGCAUUGCAUUCCUUUGUCAGGGCUACCGUCUCAAAUUCUCCACGUCUCCGUUUCUUAGAUAGAAUAUCCUUCACGAAUCUGACAUAGUUUGCCAUAUGCUCAAAUGUUUCUACUAACGUAAUGUUGAUGUGAAUUUGCUUAAGUACAUUUAAAAUUUAUUGAACUGGACUUCUUAUUUCUGCUUUUGAAGUCUUUGAGGGUAAGGUGGUAGAGGAUUCUUUACUGGAACUGGUUGAUUCGUCUUCUGUGGCAAUUUUGCAUCUAAUAAAGUUGUUAGUUUAUUAAAAUUGACCGGCUAAGAAGUUACCUUAUCGGGUUUUGCAAAUUCUGGUUCUGGUGAAGCUGAAAUUUCAACACUUGGUUGAACUUCCACUAAAUCUUGAGCAUCAGCUGGCUCCUUUUCAACUUCGACAGUGUUGGGUUAUAAUGUCUUUCUACUCCUCACUGUCAAUUCUUUACAAUGCUCUUUCCUCAAAUUUCUUGGAUUUUCCGUAUCACUAGGCAAAGCACCUUGUGGUUGGUUCCUAAUUUCAGUAGCAAUUUGACCCACUUUAUUCUCUAAAUUCCUUAUAGUAGUAUCAUUCUUUGCCAUAUAUGCCUUCAAUAGGUUUUCUAAGCUAUUGACAGGUUCAGCUUGAGUUGGUUUCUGAACUUAUUGGGUAAAAACAGGUAGCUGGGUCGGUCUAGGUUGUGCAUAAGUUUUACUGGUUCUAGUCCCUUGGUUACUCCAAGAAAAAUUAGGGUGGUUUCGCCAAGAUGGGUUAUAAAAAUUUGAUUACAUUCCUUUCCUUCCUUGGUUUUAGUUUUAGUUUUGGUUACCCAUGUAAUAUACAAAUUCUGAGUUUGAUGGACAUUCUUCGAAUAAGUUCCCUUCCCAACAAUAAACACAGGCUACAUUUUCGAAUUGAUUUGGUGGUUGAGCUGCAAAAUUAUUAAACUUAUUAGUAGUAAAUUUUCUAAGCAUUGAGGAUAUUGAAGAUACCUACGUUGCGAGUGAAGUGAGAGUGUCUAUUUCAUGUACUUCAGUGACUCGUCUUCCUGACAUUGCUCGAUUGGUUGGCCAUUGAUAAUUUUUGCGAGAAAUCCUCUCAAUGAUUUCAUAAGCCUCGUUAUAAGACUCAGAAAGGAGAGCACCAUUAGCAGAAGCAUCCACUACCAUCCUCAUGUGAGCAUUGAGACUGUUAUAGAACGUCUCUAAUUGGAUACAAUGAAGGAUUCCAUGAUGAGGGCAUCUUUAUUAUAGCUCUUGAAACCUUUCCCAUGCCUUAUAUAAGGACUCAUCAUCCAACUGUUGAAAGGUAGUAAUCUCGUUCCUCAACUUAGCAUUCUUGCUAGGUGAGAAAUACUUCAUAAUGACUGUUUCUGCUAGCUCUUGCCAUGUGGUAAUGGAAUUUGGUGGCAAUGAGUUCAACCAGGCCCGAGCUCUAUCCCUUAGUGAAUAUGGGAACAACUUUAAUCGUAGUGCAUCUUCAGGUACUCUAGCUAGUUUGAAAGAAUCACUCACCUCCAUAAAUAAUCUUAAGUGAAGGUGAGGAUCUUCGGUCGGCAUUCCACUGAAUUGGCCCACUGUCUGAAGCAUCUGGAACAUAACUAGCCUUAGCUUAAAUUGCUAUGCCUCAAUUUCAAGUCUCCUAAUACCCGAAUUAAGCUCAUAAAACACUGGCACGGCAUACUGUCUUAGAGCUUUAUCCCUAUCAUCAGUAAUAAGGAUAGGAUUUUGAGCAAGGUUUCCUCCAUUUCCUUGAUUUGGAUUUUCAAAGUUCAUCUCUUCGGUCCUUAUUUGACUUGCUUGUCUUCUUCUUUGUCGAAAAGUUCUUUCAAUUUUAGGAUCUACAAGGAGUAAAUCGAUAAUUCGAUCAAUACUCAUAAACACCUGAAACAAUCAAAGAAAAAUAAUGGAAUUAAAAUUAAACAAAAAAAUAAACCAAAAAUGCAAAAUUAACAAUUUCGCAAAUAAUGACUUUUAAAAUAGUCCCCAACAAUGGCGCCAAAAACUUGAAACGACAGAAAUGUACAAGUGUACACAAUCACAACAAGUAAUAAACUGAUAAGUAAAUGUCGAGUUAUCAUACCUACAGGGAUUGUGAAAGAAAAAUAUUUAUGAAAAGUAAAUCAAACACUUUGGUGAUUAAAAAUAUUUUGAUUUUGAGGAAGUGAUUAAAAAUUAAAAUUUAACUAACUAAAAUAAAAUAAAAAUAAAAAUUUCAAUGCACGAUUUCAAAAUAUGGUUUUAAUCAAGAUGACAUAAUUGUGUUAGAUCAAUUACAUUCCUUAACUUAGAAUUAUUAAACCCAUAUUCAUGUUGUUACGAAUAUUUUCACGGCAACUUGGUAAUUUGCUAACUACUGCUCAUACGCACUUACUAAAUUAACUAAUCUCUUAAACAUUUUUCAAUGUCAAUUCAAACAAUUAAUUAAUCUUCAUAAGCACAUAAAAGAUUAAGUGAGGUAACAACAUAUUUCUAUAUUGAAAUAGUUUAAUCACAAUAAUCUUGCAAGUUAUGCAAGGCUAAUGUACCGUUUAAUACCGUCGCUAAUUUAACCUUCAGCUACCUUAGAAGAUUAAACAUGCACCAAUUAAAUAUUGUGUCAAUUAAUUAUAAUUUCAAUACCUUUAAUAAUUAAUUCAUUUGUUACCUUACAUUUUAUAAUGCAAGUAUAACACAAGCAUGGUUUUAUUUAAUUGAACAGCUCACCAAUGCCUAUAACAACACAAACAUGAUUUUAAUAAUUCGAGUGGACAGAAUGCAAUCAAUCUAACACAAAUUAAUUUAAACCAUUUUAAUUAGAACAAGAACAACAACAUAACAAUCCUUCAUAUUCAUAAUCUCAACAUAAAAAAGAAAAUUAAAGAGAAGGGAACUAGAAAGCAAAUCCAAUGUAUCUCUGAAGUCAGACUAGUGCACUCCUCUUCUUCUCUGCUCGUUCUGUUGAACUAAGGCCUCUACUAACAAUUGAAAUAUGCUAUUCCAAGGUGGAAGAAGGCUCUUUUUCAAGAGGGAAAUCGGGAAGGAAAUUGGACAAGAAAAAGGGAAAAACAAAUAGAAGAAAGUGAGUGAAAGAGAGAGAGAUGUGUAGGAAUGAAGAUGUGUUGAAUGAAGUAGCAAAUAGGGUAUUUAUAGGUGGGAAUGACUGCUAAAAAUAGCAAAUAAUUAGCAGCCACACACUCCUUCUUGGCCAGCCAUACAAUAAUCAAGUUUGAAUAUUUCAAACUUGCUAUUUUAAGCUAAGGGCAAAUCUUCAAAGGCACAAAAAGUGGAGGGGUUUGAAUGGAGUUUAAGGAAACUUUAAGGUUUGUUUUGCAAGCAUAAAAAUCAGAAAAAUUCAGCUGAUUGGGUCAGCUUGUUGGACGGUUUUGGGCUACCAUUUUUCUUGUUGGAUCAGUCUUAUUUUAUUAACACAAUUGGGUCAUUUUCUGCUUUAGACUUUAUAUUAAUUUUUAACCCAAUUAAAUUUGGAUAAAAAUAAAUAUAAAGUGCAUAAAAUAAUCAUUAUUUGGACCAUCCUUGGAUGGAAAAAUAUUCAGCAUUGCUCUUGGUUCACUCGAUGCAAAAAUUUCUCUAACAGUUCAAGCCUUUCGAGGUGUCUGUCUAGCCAAUUUCACGUUUUGUGCAAAACUGUCGAAAAUAAACUAAAUUUGUGAAAAUUUAUUAUAAAAAUAAUUAAAAUUCAAUAUGUUAAUAAUUUAACUACAGAUUAAUUGUUUUAUAAUUAAAUUAUGAAUUUUGACAAAAUUUACUAUGAAACUGCAUGAAUUAGGUCUCAAAAGGUGCUAAAAAAGUCCAUAUAGUUUUGUGUUUCCGCUCUCAUACUGUGCGUCAAAAGGUGACAUGCCCAAACUAGCGUGAUAACUGUUGUUAUAGGUAGACUCCACCAAGGGUAGAUAUUUUUCCCAAUUCAACCCAAAAUCAAUCACGCAACUUCUGAGCAUAUCUUCAACACUUUGACAUCAAUCAGUCCGUGGAUGGAAGACAGUACUGAACUGAAGCUUGGUUUCAAGAUAUAUCUGUAACUCCUUCUAGAACCUCGAAGUGAAUCUAGGGUCUUGAUUCGACAAAAUUGAAGAAGGAAUACCGUACAGGCGAACUAUUUCUGAAAUGUGUAAUUUUACUAACUUUUCCAAUAAGUAGUUGGUUCACACUACUACAAAGUGAGCUGGCUUUGUUAAUAGAUCCAGAAUUACCCAAACAACAUUCUUCUUAGUUGCAUUGAAAGGCAACCCCAACACAAAUUCCAUCGUGAUCCUAUCUCACUUCCAUUCUGGGAUCUCAAGCAAGCACAAUUUACCAGAAGAAACCUGAUGUUCAGCCUUGACCCUCUGGCAGGUUAAGCACUUCAUUACAAACUCUGAUAUUUCACUUUUCAUUCUCGGUCACCAAAAUAAAUUCUUCAUAUUUUGAUACAUCUUUACACUUCCUAGAUGAAGGGAAUAUGGUCCAUAGUGAGCUUCUUUAAUAAUCUCCUACCUUAGCUCUUCUUCAUUGGGAACAUAUAGUCUUCCCAUGAAGCGAAAUUCUCCUUCGUUUCCUAGGCUAAAAUUCUUAGCAUCACCAGCUGUCAUACGUUCUUUUAUCUCAUUAGAUCAUUCAUCUGUGAGUUGUGACUUCAAUAUCUAAGAAAGGAAUACUGGUCGCGCCCUCAAUUUAGCGAGACUUGAACCAUCAUCAGCUAGACACACUCUCACUCUUAAAUAAGCAAGAGUCGAUAUAGUUUUCCUACUCAAUGCAUCUACCACCAAAACUUUUGAGGAUGGUAUUUGAUGGUCAAGUCAUAAUCUUUUAACAGUUUUAUUCAUUUUCGCUGGCGUAGGUUCAGCUCCUUCUGAGUGAGUAGAUACUUUAAGCUCUUGUGGUAUGAGAAUAUAUGACAUUUCUACCUAUAAAUAUAAUGCCUCCAAAUCUUUAGGGUCAAUACUACAGCUGCCAAUUCCAAGUCAUGAGUUUGGUAGUUCUUCUUAUGGGGCUUGAGCUGGCAUGACACAUAUAUAAUUGCCUUCCCCUUUUGCAUAAGUAUGCACCCUAAAUCGUUCAAUGAUGCAUCAAUAAACACGACAUAUUCUACUCUCGGUUCUAGCUAACACAACACUGCUUUCUUCAGCUCAUCAAAACUAUGCUGACAUUCUUCAGACCAACAAAACUUUUCAUCUUUCCUUAACAAUCGAGUUAAUGGUAUUGUCAUCAUUGAGAACCCCUACACAGACUUUCUAUAAUAACCCUCUAGACUAAGGAAAUUGCGCACCUCAGUAACAUUUUUCAGCUGAUUCCAUUCAAGAAUAGCACAGGUCUUCACAGGAUCUACCUUGAUUCCUUCUACGGUGAUGACAUGGACUAAGAAAUGGACUUCCUUUAGCCAGAAUUUGCACUUGUUGAAUUUGGCGUAGAAUUUAUUUUCCCGAAGAACACUUAAAACUAUCCGCAAGUGUUCCUCAUGCUCUGCCUCACUCUUUGAGUAAACCAAAAUAUCUUCAAUGAAGACAAUGAAACAACAAUAAAGGUAAGGCUAGAAUAUUUUGCUCAUCAGGUCCAUAAAUACUGUUGGUGCAUUGGUUAAACCAAAAGGAAUUACUAAAAAUUCAUAGUGCCCGUAACGCAUGAAAAAAGUAGUUUUUUUAAUAUCAUCUCCUUUAAUAUUUACCUGAUAAUAUCCAGACCACAAAUCAAUAUUUAAAAACAGCUUAGCCCAGCUUAGCUGGUCGAACAAGUUCUCAAUUCUAGGUAACGGAUACUUGUUAUUAAUAGUCACCUUAUUCAAUUGGCUAUAGUCAAUACACAAUCGAAGGGUUCCACCUUUUUCUUAACAAAUUGUAUUGGAGCACCCGAACGUGAAACACUUGUUCUGAUGAACCCCUUAUCCAAUAGUUCUUGCAGCUAAGUUUUAAACUUUUUCAACUCUACUGGAGUCAUUCUAUAAGGCGUACUUGAGAUAAAAUUCAUCGGUGUCACAUUAAUAGAGAACUCCACGUCUCUAUUUGGCUGAAUCCCCGAUAAUUCUUUUGAAAAGACAUUUCGAAAUUCAUUCACAAUUGGUACCUGUCCAAAUUCUUCCCUCACCAUUUUAGAAACCAGGAUAUAUGCUAAAUAACUAUCUCCACCCUUAACCAACAAUUUGUGAGCUAAAAUUGUUGAGACUAAAUUGCUCAUGAUGUCCCGCUUCAUUCCCCAGACAAACACUUUAUUUCUAUCAAUGGAUACGAACUAUACCCCUCUAGACUUGCACUCAACUACUGCAUUAUGUCUCAUAAGCCAAUCCAACCCCAAUAUGGCAUCAAACUCAAAAACUCAAAAGCAUUAAAUCCACCAAGAAUACAUGUCCCCCAAAACUCAAUGAAUAGUCCUUUACCCCCUUAUUUACUAUAGUGUCCUAGCCUAAAGGAUCUGUGACUACCUUGCUAACCUCUAUGAGGACAACUCUAAGACUCCUUCUACAUGGCAUAUACUCUAGUUGUGUCUGACUAUAUUUCUUCUUGUGGCUCCCUAGACCAACUCUAAUUUAAUUAUCGCCCUCAUUUUCACUUUAUGUUUGGACUCCUUAACUACUUGCACAAAUUGUUCGGUAUUUCCUCUUAUGUUUAUGGGACAAUCCCUAUUGUAAUGGUCCUGGGCUCCACAAUUAUAACAUCCCUAGUGCCCCUCCGGUAUACGUUGGUAUGGUUCUUCCCGCAACUAUUACAAGUUGGAAUUUUCAUUCUUUCGGGUCCUUUCGUGCUGGCCAUAGGCAUCGCUUGGUGUACACUUUGUUCUCGCUGGAAGCCCACAGUUUGUGACUCCCUUGUUAAGGUAGUAGAAUACCCUCUAACUUCUCUGGGUCUUUUGAACCCGGCAUUAGACACUGUGUUAGAAGCUACAUGCUUGUUCUUUUCCCUUUCCCUGACCUUAUUUCUUUCUUGAAUGGUUGUCUCCAUUCUUUAGGCCUUCAGAGACAGGGCAGCAAAAUCUCUAAUCUCAAGAGCAGACAACAGUACCCUCAAUUCCUUAUUUAAACCCCUUUGAACCUAAUGCACAAACCUUCCCUGUUUGGCACUAAGUCCUUAGCGUACUUGCUUAACCUGAUAAACUCCUUCUCAUACUCAAACAUUGUCGUUUAUCUUUGCUUGAGUUUUAAAAAGUCCCAAUUCACCUGAUUUCUUGGGGCCAUGCUGGAUACUGUAGUCCACCAUUGAUAUGCCUCAUCCUCAAGUAGGGAGAUGGUGCAUCUUAGACUUUCAACUGAGGAGCACUGCAGUUCCUCAACUACCCGACAGACUUGGGAAAGCCAUUUUUCUACUGUAACUGGAUCAUCCUCUUUACCACCUCGAAACUCUCUACCACCCUUCUUAUGGAUGAUCUCUACCGGGUCUCCUUUAGACAUCGCUACAGCUGGAAUUGGAGAUGCAAGGUUUCCCGGUGGUGUAACCUCUGUUUUCCUAAUCGUCUCCUAUUGUCUCACUGAUUCAUCACGACGUUUAUAAGAUGAGGUUGGAGCAACUCCCAUGUACCGCUCGAACCAUUGCCACAUAACAUGUCCCACCAUUUCCAUCAAGGCAUCCUUAGCCUUUGUUCCCAAUACUCCCCGGCUCAAAAAAGGAGCAGGGUUAUCCACUAAUGGCGGGGUAUUGCUUUCCACUUCUUCCCCCUCAGCAUUCCUUGAGUUUAUCGACAUUUUUCUUUCUUUCUUCACUAUAAAACAAAUUUUGUUAGCAAUACUAUGAAGGUUCCAGCCAGAUUUGUGUAACAUGUAUUGCGGAGUUUCUAGCUGAAAUUGGUUUCUAAAAAUCGGCAAAACUGAAACUCUGAUACCAACAAACUUGUAACACCCCACACCCGACCCAAUCGUUGGUUUCGGAUAUGGAGUGCCACUGGUCGACCUGUUGGAAACACAAAACUCUCCCCUUUAAAACAACUAUCCAUUUUGGUGCGUACCCCUUUUUUAGUACGAUGUUCCAUUAAUUUAAGACUACAUUUAUUUGAAAGCAAAAUUUUAAAAUGUUAUACCGCCACACUUAAGGAUUUAAAGAUACAAGAAAUAGCAUUUGGCGACUACUUAACAAUAUUUAUAAAUCACAAAUAAAGAUAAGCCAAUGAGGCUACUAAUCAACAUUGGCAGUAUCCAACAUAACGUUUCAAGUACAAAUUAAUGGUUUUAAAAGCGUCGAUAUCCAACAACGUCCUAAUACCCUUGGAAAAUACAUGAUCCUACGAAAAAAGAAGUCUCGCAAAUGGCAACAGAUCUGGCUGUAUCCCUUCAAUCACCACGCUCAACCUAAGAACCUAAAAGUAAGAAAAAACUGAGUAAGUUCAUGACAACUUAGUAAGCUCCUGGGGAAAUAAAACCCACUAAUAUUACUAUAAGGCAUUAAGAGAUAGGGCGCAAACUGAUAGACUAGUUCACCAUAUUCAGCAUAUACAUCCAUCUGAUCCAUAAAUCAAUUAGCGGAUACUACCGCGAUAAACUCAGCCUUCCGACAGACAACACUGGUUUCUAAACUCAUACAUGAUGGUCACAGGCACAACUACUCCGCGGAAACGCCAUAUGUGUGACUACCCUUUUUAUGACUGACUGACUUAUUUUACAUUUUAUGCAAUGAGCACUAUCACAUGUACCCUUUUUCUUAUGUACUACAUUCAUUGUGCUAACUUUUGAUCCUUGUUCCAAAGAACUAACUUUUCAUGUAUCUUCAUAUCUACUCGUUAGAGCUAUUUAAUGGACAUCACCUUCGUAUCCCCUUAACUUCCCUCCUUGUUUGAACACAUAUGUGUUACCCCGCAAGGUCGGGUUUUCACCAAUCACAGUUUUCACCAAAGUGUCAUACCGGAGGCAAAACAUUUUAUCCCAUGUCUUCUUUUUAUCAUUAUAGACAACAUCCCUCCGUUGCCUCCUUACACCUGUCUAGAUACUGAUUUUAUGCACUAAGGAAGUAGUACUCAUACCAUGUAUAUGCCAAGUUUUCUGGGUCUGUUUAAUCAUAUAUAACCUUGCAUGCAAAGUCUCUUUGAAUAUGUUUCCUUAGACAUUAACACUUGAGACAAAGGAAAAAGCCACUUUCCUGGGUGUACAGUGAUAAGGAUUAAAUAAGAUAAUGCAAAUAUCAGACACAAUGUAUAGAGGAACUCACCAGAAUACCUUACUCAAAGCUUUGUCUACUCUGUUGGUUCCUUCCCUUUAAUAUUAGGAGCUUCUCCCAUUUCUUUAGCUAAAAUAGUAAAACAAAUUUUUUAAACAUAAAAAAUGACCAAAACUUUACAAUAUAGCAAGAAUCUGUAGACAAGCAAAUAAUUUCUAGAUAGAAGUUUCUUUCAUAUCCAGUAUUCAAAGAAAUCCUAUUGAACCUCUCUUGCAUUAGCUUCUAUCUAUCUGGUAAAGCUUAAAAGAAGGUUUAAGAAUUUACCAGCAGACAACUGGUAUAAAAUCUCUCUUAUGCUUUUAUAGUCAACACCUUCAUUAACAAAGAAGAACUCACAUGGUUUCUUCGAUAAUAACAAUGUCUAGUAAAUAAGAUGAAUUUGAAAUAUUCUCUCAACUAUCAAGCCCUCCUAUUUAUAGAUAGCUCACAUACAUAUCUUAAUCAGGAUUAUCUCUAAUCAUUACUCGCUCUCGUACGCUUCCAUUAAUUAAUCAAAUCCUACAAGGCUCUCCAAGUGUCUAAGAUUAUAAAAGAACUCUUGGAUCAAAAUUGAUUCCAAGAGGAAAGAACAAAGUUGUUUAAGAAAAUGGAAAGAAAACUUUGUUUAAUCCUACUCCUAACUACGAGGGUUUUUGAAGGCGUCUAAGAUAACUUAGUUACAUCAAACCUCUAACGUCUUAUUUGUAGGAGUGUUGGCAACCUAAAUUAGGUCUUCGACACGUCCUAAGUCUUCGUAUAAAGUUGAUUGUGUGGACAAAAAUAAUCUUAUUGUACUUGGGUAGCACGUCGAUCUAUGUCACGUCAUACAAGAUCUAUGGCACAACACGAUAGUCAAUUUAUGCCUUGUAUGGUUCGUUUCAUGCUUUGACGGCUUGAGAAGCUUGUGCAUUACUCGUCCCUUACUCUCAUGUUAAUUGGGCCUAUAAUUCAUCAUCCUACACACUCAAUUCAACACAUUAGCACUACCUAAGGUUCGUGUCAGUCUAAUAGGUCACAACACUCACAAAUUUUGUUUAAAAUACUUCUUUUUAUUAACUUUUCAUACUAACUACUGGAUACUAUAAACAAAAUACUAAACACUAAAUUGGUUAGAAAACAAGCUCCUUAAGUGCGAAAAUAGACCAAAAUUACAACUACAUUUGAAGACAGUUCAAAUACCCUCACACUUAAGUCUUUGCUUGUCCUUAAGCAAACUAAACAACACAAAAUAAAAACUAAAAACAAGAAAUAAACAUUUAAAGAAAAGAAAAUGUACUUGAGCUAGCUUGAUACAGGAAAAUGGAUAGAAAUAUAUUAACAAUAUAAUGAAAAUAAACAUAUAAUACUAGCAUGAUAUAAAAUUGACUCACAAUUUCUAAAAUUAGACGGGUUAGUUCAAUAAAUUACAAAGCAAAAAAAAAAGAAUGAUAAGUAUAGAUUUUCAUCAAAACAAAUAUACAAAUAGAAAAUUAUGUUCAAAUGAAUACAUGUGGUAAAAACAUCAAAACAUGGCAAUUGUCAUCCAUAUAAGGUACUACCUAGGUCACAUAGGACUUUUCGGCUUGUAACGUUCUGCGGCUUAGGUUGGUUUGGAAUUCAAAGAACGUGCUCGAUAAAAUAGCUAAGCACAAAAGUAGUUUCGCACAUUAUAUUGACCUCGAUACUCUCUUGCGUAUACAUAUACUCACCACCUUAUAUCCACUUCUCUCACCUUCCUUAUUUCUCUAUUUCUAUGGCCAGUAUAAUAUUCAUGAGUACAAUCAUCCGAGCUCGUAUUGUUUUUUGGAACAAAUGUAAGCGUACUUUUUUUCCAACUCACUUUGUCUUUAUAUUUUUUUCAUCAAGAUUUUCUCGAUUGGAAUUUUGCUUUAUUUUUCUACAAGCUCAAGAAAUCUUAUACUCACUAUAUCAAACAAUUCCUUAGUCACUCAUUUUUUUUCUUUUGAAACCACUGUGAUGUAUCUACCUAAUCUCUCAAUAUCAAUAAUCAGACAUUUAAAUCCGUGCAAGGACAAAGAAAUAAAGAAUUAAAUAGAAUAUUCUUUAGGCUUAAGGUUUCAUUCAUGGUUCAUCAAAAAAAUAGAUCCAGGCUCAAAAUAAGUACUAGAGAAAAUAUUUACGGGAUAGCUUUUUGCGUCAAAAAGUUGUUUACCAAACAAUGUCUUAGGUUGUCCCUAGGUAAUUCUAUACAUGGCUUAAAUCGACCAAGUCUAUCAAUUUUUACAACCUAUAACUCAAUUAAACAUGCAUGCUAUUUAUAUAUCUAUUUAUCAUGUGGUACACUUAACAUCUUGAAUCUAUUCACAGUGUAAUAAAUUGAAGUAAGUAGUUUAAAAUUAAAAAUUUAGAAUCAAUUAUUAUCAAACUAAAUUUGAAAUUUAUUCACAAAUUCCUAUUAACAUGCUCCUAACCAAUCACUUGUAUUUCUAUAAGCUCAAGCACAUAAAAAAACAUGCAAAAAUAAAAAUUUAAAAACUACUAAAAACUAGAAAAAUAAAAUAACAGAAUAUAUUAACAUUUUUCCUAAGUCACCUCCAUAAUUUAUUCAACACAUUGUCCCUAAUGUGAAAUAAAAAUAUAAAGGAAAGAGAUUACCCGAUUGGCAUGACUCAUGCAAUACAAUUGCUGGGAACUACUCCUCCUUUCAGUUUUAACUCUAUAUUGUUGUGCCUUCAAAAUUUUGGGGUUCCUACUAAGAAAAACUAACCACCACUACAUAUAUAAAAUAUUAAAGUCUUAAAUAAUUAAGAAGUAAAAAAAAAUUAAAAUCAUCCUAAACAAAAACAAAAUACAAAUUCCAAACUAAAAAAAAUGAAAAUUAAUGGAAUUGUUUGAAAUUAGUUUGAAUCAGGAUCCAACAUUUUAUCCGCUUUGCUUGGUUCACCUUCCAACUCCUCCGGAUCUUCUUCGGGAUAUUUUUCUUCUUCUAAUUCAUUCUCUUUCCUCAUCUUGUUCGGUUAUGUCUUUAACUUGUACUUAGUUCAUGGGAAUUGUGGCAGAUUCAACCCAAUUUUAUUCGUAUAAUCUUAAAAAAUCAGUCCAGCUUCUUGCAUCCAUCGAACUAUCCAUUUUGAAUCAGGUAGCACAUUCUCGCCUACAUGUGGUUUUGUCUUUAUCGCUCUCUUUCUUUUCCUAUUCCCUAUAAGAUACUCCACACUCAGUUCCAAUAACAGAAACUCGAUUGGUUGUAAGACAUGACCUGAUUGUCCCACUGGCUCAUUCGUUCAUCGGCAUAAGACUGUCACUAAGUGCGGGAAAAUUAAUUCCACCUCAUUUUUCCUAGCACAUUAGAGCAUGCUCUGAUAUAUCCAAGUUCCCACACAAACUCUUUAUGUAACACCCCUUACCCGUAUUCAAUACCGGAAUAGGGUACGAGGCAUUACCAAAACACAUGCACUUAUAAACGUAUUUAACCGAGUUAUAAAAUUUCAUUUAAAUUAAAACUUUCAAAAUAAUUAACAUGCUUCUAUAACUUUUCACAGUAUAUCCUCAAAAUGUUAUAAUCAUAAUAAUUAGGGCUUACGAGACCCGAUACAUACUCAUGAAAUUCAAUGCUUCAUUUCCAUUUCCCUCAAUUCGCAAUUUCUCAUGCUCACGAUUUAGAUCAUAUCACUAGCAAUUUCCAUUUAAUUCACGUACAAUUCAAUGACAUCAAGUUCAACACUAAUACGUAUUUACCAUUUAACUCAAUGUUUAUUGAUUAUACCAUUCAAUAACAAAUUUAUGAAAUUCUCAAUUUUGCAACGAAAAUAUCAUUUUAGCUUGAAUAACAACAUCGUCCUGAUAUAAAUACACUACCACUUAUCCAUUUACUUUAAUUCUUUUGGGCCCAUUUGUCACUUACCAUCCUUAAUCAAAUUAGGGAACGGUUACGGAAAAUUGAGUACUUCACUUUCACUUUGCCAUAGUAUAACUAUGGUCUUACGUAUGAUCACUUAUCACUUGUCCCUGAUCAGAUAAGUGUAACCACUUAUCACUUUGUUUCUUGAUCAGAUAAGUGUAGCCACUUAUCACUUUGUCUCUUGAUCAGAUAAGUGUAGCUAAAGCUAUCACUUAUCACUUUUCACUUGUCACUUGAUCAGAUAAGUGUAGCCGAAACUAUCACUUAUCACUUUGUCUCUUGAUCAGAUAAGUAUAGCCGAAGCUAUCACUUUUCACUUUUCACUUGAUCAGAAGUACUCAAAUCCGGCGUUCCGCUCAAUUUGAUCAUUUAUUCAGUUUUCGCAUUUUUAUUUUAUUCUCAUUUCAUCAAUAAAUAUAUCUCAUCAUACAUUACAUAACUCAUGAAAUUAACAUUUAAUCAUUAAAUUUCGGCCAUAUGAACGUACUAUUUCAUUAUCUUACCACCCUUGUUUCCUAUGCACAUCACACAAGAUAUAAACAUAUCAUUCAACCAUAGUCACAAGCUAGUAUAUUUAAACAUAAUUCUUUUUGGAACUAACCACAUGAUAAACCAUUCAUGAAAUUAUUUCAUGCCAAAUCAUAUACCGAAUAUACGAUACACACAUACUAUGAAACUUUAUUUUCACACAUGAGCUUAAAUCAUAACCAAUAAUGCACAAAUAUAAGCAUUAUUUCUAUUUCAUCGUUUAUCAAUUAUAAUCAAGCAUAUGACAAAUUGUACACAAAUCAUUCAUAUACUUCCCAAUUUUCCUCCUCCUCCUCCCCAUUCCACAUCCUUAAUGUGUAUAACACACUUAAACAACAUUAGCUAUAAUUUCACUAUUCACUCACAUGUAUAUUCAAAACUGUUUAUCCGAGUCCGAGUCACUAAAGUAUUUUUAUCCAGAGAUACAAAGCUCAAAAUUAAGAUCCGUUAAUUUUCCCUGAAACUAGACUCACAUACCUUCUUACCAUAAAAUUUUCAGAAUUUUUGAUUCAGCCAAAUAGUACAGUUUAUUCUUUAAAGUUUCCCCUGUUUUGCUGUCUGACAGUUCCGACCACUCUUCACUAAAAAUUAAUUAUCUCAUUGUAAAGAAUUUGGAUGAUAUUUAUAUUUGUUUCUUCUAAAAAUAGACUCAUUAAGGAUUCUAACCAUAUAAAUUAUAACUCAUAAUCAUUUUUCUAAAAUUUUUAAUGAUUUUCCAAAUUCAGAACAGGGGAACCCAAAUUCAUUCUGACCUUGUCUCACAAAAUCUAUUAUAUCUCAUGAUUUACAAUUUCAUUGCGUACACAAUUUCUUCUAUGAGAAACUAGACUCAAUAAGCUUUAAUUUCAUAUUUUAUUCACCCUCUAAUUCAAUUCCCACAAUUUUUGGUUAUUUUUCAAAGUUAGACCACUGUUGCUGCCCAAAACUGUUUAGUGUAAUAUAUUGAUUACCAAUUUGACUCUAAACUUUUAAUACAUGAUAAUUUCGUCCCUAGGCUUGGAAAAUGAAAUUCUUGCAAUAUAAUCCUUGAUUCAAGCCUAGUAUUUCUCAUACAUAUCAAUAACAGCCCAUAGAUUCCAUGAAAUUUUAGAAUUUCUCCAUGAUUUCAAUACUUUUCAAUUUAAUCCCUAAAACAUGUUUUCAUCUAAAAUUCUUUAAUAAAACACCUUUAAACAUCCAUUAACAUCUCAAUUUCAUCAAAAAAUAACAAAAAUCAUAUGAACUUAUCAUUAGUAUCUUCCAAAACUUUCAACAAAAUGAGAAACUAGACAAAAUGAGAAACUAGUAGAAUACUAAGUUGGACCUAAUUGUAAAAGUCUAGAAAUAUAAAAAUUUCAAGGACAAAGCAAGAAUUAAACUUACUUGAAGCCAAAAUAUGGAAUACCAGCUCCAAACCCUCUUCCAUGGCUGUCUCCCACCGAAAUUUCCAGAAGAAAUGGUCUUGAAAUGCUUAAAAUAAAAUUUGGCCACAUAAACUUUAUUGUAAUUCCAAUUUUGUCCUUAAUACAUAAAAAUCUUAGAUUUUUUUUAAUGGUAUGUCAUCUCAGCCCCUAAAUUGGUCCAUUUUCUCUUUUAGUCCUUCCUUAUUUAAUUGUUAAGCUAUUUAAUCACUUUAGCAAGUUUCGCAUUUUUUCAAUUUAGUCUUUUUUAAUUAAUUAACUGCCAAAACAUUAAAAUUUUCUGACGAAACUUUAACACUACCAUAUUGACACUCCGUAAAUAUUUAUAAAAAUAUUUACGGCUUGGUUUAUAACAUCGAAGUCUCGAUACCUCUUCUUCUCAAUUUCUUGACUUAAUAAAUUUUUAUAAAAUACAAGUUACUAAUUUAAAAUAUCUUAAAAAUCAUAUUUAGCUCGUAAUUAUUGAUAAUAAAAUUUACAAGCUUAUUUUCUGAAUUGGUGAUCUCGUACCACUGUUUUCGACAUUUUUGAAAAUCGGGCUAUUACACUUUACUUCGUUAAAAUCGCACACAACAAUGUUGCCUGGAAUGUAUCGACAUUGGACACGUCUGUCGUAGGGCAAAUUCAAGUGCUGAUAAAUUUAAACCACAUUCAAACCUUAGAAUUUAACUUCCUCUAGGAGAAUGAUAUAGGAUAGUUUGUUCCUAAGUGAUGUUUCCACUCACCCUUUCCGUCCGUCAAGAGAUUAAGUAUAUCUUCCAUAUUUUCUCUCAAAAAUACAUUAAAUCCGUGCAUUGUACAAAAUCACUAAGGUAUAAUGGAAUAUUAUAAUACCUUGCUAUCUUGAGGGGCAAGAUAGAAAUUCCCUUCCCUCGGACUAAUAUUCGCAUCCACAGUACCUCCAUCGAUCUAUUCGCAUCCGCCUCCUUCAACGUGACAUAAAAUGCGUGCACGAUCAGAAGGUACACUAGAUUGGUCAAGGUUGUACUAAACUUCUCCCAACAAUGAAAUUGAAUCAACUCUCGUGUCUCGCCUUGCAAUGCACUUAGCGAUUUGAAACCUCAUUCUUGUAAAAGUAAUUUUCGUUGGACCGCUUGAAGGUUUUUGUCAAGUUUCCUUUCUCAAAUGGUGGCAUGGUUAUCCGCUAUGGAUUCACUGUUGAAAAGGAUUCUAUACAUGAUUUUGAGGUGAGUUUGAAGUAAAAAAAUGAUAGGGAAUUCGUGAAAUCCCGAAGAAAAGGGUUAUGAAUGGUAAGUUGGUUUGUUAUGAUAGCUUGGAGGUUGUAGCAGCUGGUAAGAGCAAUAUAUAGAAGCCAUUUAUGGUUUUGCUUGUUGUGAAACCUUGGUGAAUAUCUCUAAAGAUCGUGUCGAACCAAGAACAAAAAUUUUCCAAAAUUGGCCAGCAUGUCGCGCCAUAGAGGGGACAUGGCGCGACACGACUCUCUUUUGUCCUUUGUUUUUGCUGAACUCAAGAGUGUGUCGCGCCAUAGGUAAGGCAUGGCAUGACACAAUGAUAAAAUUCUUCAUUUUUAGGCUCAAAUGGGUUGUGUCAUGUCAUGGGAUUGUAAAGUGACAGCAUGGCUUCGAUUUGGCCUAUCUUAGACUUGUAGAAGGCCCUCGAUUACUCGUAUAUGCACCCUAACGUCUAGCUCCUCUGUUGUUAUUGGAAACCUGUUUCUUUCUAAUUCUAACACAAAAUAACAAGUCCAAUUUCUAAUUCUAACAAAUAAAAAUAAAAUAAUAUAUAAUAUUUACAAAUUAAUUAAAUUUUGAUGGGUUAAAUCUAUGUUGUGCUACCGGACUUGUCGAACAAUUUCUUGAACUUCACUAUCAAAUUCAUUUGUUGCUCUUGACCUAGUUGUCAUUCCAAUCGAUUCCAUUUCUUCUGGGAUCUUGCCAUUUAUCUCUUUCUCUUGCAUUACGCUUACCUAGACUUGCACAACUUGGAAAACAACUUUGAUUAAGGUCGUUAGGGGUUAAAUCGAAUAAAACGUAACGUUCAUCCCCUAAUAAUCCCACACUUUGGGAAUCCUGACCACAUUUGAACACCUCUAUUUUGCCAUCGAUUUGAAUUACUAAUUCAUUUAUUUUGAGAUCAAUGGUUGAUCUAGAUGUGGCCAUAAAUGGUCUACCCAAAAGAAUUGGAAUUUCUCGAUCUUCCUCAAAAUCGAGGACAACUGAAUCGAUGGGGAUUAUAAAUCCCCGUACCUUGACCAAUACAUCCUAGAGCACACCUUUUGGGUGUACCAAGGAUCUAUCGACUAAUUGUAGCUUUAUUGAGGUAUUUUUAAGAUCUCUGAGUCUGGUUUUUUGAUAGAUCAAUAGAGACAUUAAAUUUAUGCAAGCCCUAAAUCGCAAAGCGCUUAGCUAAAAUGUCGAUCCCCUAAUCUCUAUUAGGAUUGUUAAGCUAUCCAAAUCCUUCAAUUUUAGGGGUACCUUCUUAGCAAUUAAAGUCCUACACAAGGCAUCAAUGUCAAUUUGCUUGCCAUUUUUCAUUUUCUUAUGUCGUGCCAUUAUUUCUUUUAAGUACUUGGCAUAUUUAGGGAUUUUAUCGAUAAGUUUAAGGAGUGACAAGUUGACAUUAAAGGAUUUAAAUAAAUUGAGAAAAAUUACAAAAUCUACCUUGUACUUCUUUUACUCUUCCUCUAGUCGUGUCGUGAAUGAUACACUUGUUGUGCUUGGAUUUGAGAUUACCGAAUCAGACAUUGGUUCAUCUACUUCCUCGACUGGCUCAUGGUGCUUGACUUCUUCCUCUUCUCUGGGUUUGUCAACAGUUUCGAGCACCUCUUCUUCAUGGAUGGGCUUAUGGGGCAUUUCUAACUCCUAGCCCAGUUGCAAAGUGAUCACCUUUUCAUUCUCCUUCUCAUCUCUUUGAGGAUUGUUCUUCAUGUUACUGGAGAGACUCUAGCCAUUUUGCCUUUGAAACUUCAUCAUUAAUUGGCUCAUUUGGUCACAGAGGCUAUCCAUUCAAGAUUCGAGCCGUCCAUAUAUGGCUUGGACUUAUCCAUUCUGGCCAUUUUUCUUUUUAAGCAUCGUUAUUAAUUAGCUCAUUAAUUGGCUCUUGGAAUCGGUUGUCUAAUGUUUAAUUGAUACUAAGCAGUAUUAAAUAGUCAGAUCGUAAUACAAAAAAAUAACUUGUAUUAGUAGACAAACCUAAACAUGUCUUUAGUUUAAUCGAAAAUGAUCAAAAACUGAUUGAAAGACCAAUAUGUCAUCUAUCAAGUCCAAUUGGAGAGAUGCCUUGUCUUGGGCAUCGAAACGGAUGACUCCCAAAAAAUAAAGACAUAGAUGUGGUUGACUGGACUGGCAGUACAUCAAAUAGAACCCAAGUAGAAUAGAUCUUGGACCCGUUUAUGGACUUAUUCACUUGUGACAUUCAUAGUGUGGCAUACCUAAAUCCUGAGUGGAUGGUGGACUAUGUAUGUGUGACUGUACACUUUAAUGUAAGUAAAAGCCUGAGUUUAAAUAGGUAAGGAACCGAAAGUUGGUGCAUUAGGUGUAUGACUUCUAUAGUACAUAGCAUCAUACACAAUAAUAGAAUUCAUAGCCCAAGACAUGAGUAAAUAAUAUCCUCUUAUUGGCAUUACAUGGUUGAUGAAAAGUAAGCGUGGUCAUGGGUCGUUCGUCUUCGUGAUGAAUGACUUGAUUGCUAUUUGAUAGCUAUUGGCUUUUCAUGAAGAAAGAUGUAAUGGUUACCAUGAGAUAAAAUAGGAUCAUAAUAGGAGAGCAGAUAUUAUCCCAAAUAGAUCAAGGAUAUCCUAUGAGGGUACCAUACUUAUGACAAGGUUAUUGGACGAGAACUAAGUAGAUGUUUUCGUAAUGGCAUGUCGUUAGGGAGAGCUCAGUCACGAUACUAUAGUGGAAUAACUUUGUGACUAAAUGCGUUUAUAAUUAAUAGGUGAAAAACUGGAACUUAAUUAUAAAUCAUUUGAGCCCUAAUUACAUAUGUCCAAUCAGUCCCUCAAUUAACUCAUUGAAACUGAAAAUGAAUUGCAUGUUGAAUCGAAAAUGAACAUAAUGAAUAGAAAUAAAAAAAUGAAAAAUAUUUAAAAAUGAUUAUGGUUUUCUCCGAAAUGGAGAAAUAGAACUAUUUAGAAAUGAAUGUUGUUUUCUCAAAAUGGAAAUGAGAAAUGAUUCAUUUGCAAAUGCACAUAUAAUUUGGCUCAAUACAAUGAGAGGCUCGAAUCCCCAUCAUAAUACAUAUGAGGGGAAACACGCUCUAUUAGCUCCUUUCCCUCUCCUAGUUGAACUAGGAAGUUAUUUUUCUAUUUGAAAUAAAACUCUACAAUUCAAUAAGGGUUCUACCUCCUCUCCCUAUAAGCAGAUGGCACUGGUAGAGCUAUUUACACAAUUUUAAGAGAUUGUUAAUCUGUCGAAAGUAGAGAAAAUUUAUUCUCAACUAUUAAAUAUAUUUUUCCAGAACAGAAAUUCUACUGGUUUCUAUUAAAGAAGAGAGAGAAUUUUCAUUUUAACCCCAUAAGAAAAAGAUCGUUUGGUUCAAUUGGUUCGAGCCCACACUCAAAGCAGUUCGUGAUACGAGAAUAGCGAAGAAGAUCGUUUGGUUGAAAGCCAAAAAAAUCAAGGAUUCACUUAUUCGAAAACAUAGGUACGAUUUUGGUCUAAGGUUUAUUGUUAUAAAUAUCACAAACCAUGCCGGUUUUCAAAAUUUUAAUUUGCUGCUGUGUAAGAAAACCAUUUUCAAACUGGAUUUUUUUUUCCAAUAAUUGGUAUUAAGAGUCAGAUUGUGUUAUAUUUAUAGUGUAAACCGAGAUUGAAUCUCUCUUCAUCUUAUUUGAUUAAUAUUUGAUAAGAUGUGACAUUCUUAUAAUUAUUCACAUGUUUAAGGGAAUGUAUGUAAAUGAAUGUAUAUAAUUAUUUUAUUGUUAUUGAUGAUAAAGUAAUUUUGCCAAAGUUGUGAUUCCUAAAAUUUAUUUCUAAUUUAAUUUGUUUUCCAGGCAUGUAUAUUUUAGAUUGUGGACUAUCAUCUUCACACAGGGUUUUAUUUUAUGAUUUAUUUAUUUAGAAUAAAAUAUAUGAGCCAGAAACGAAUAUAGGAAUUUUUGUAAUUUUUUUCUCGGUAAAACCCUAGAAACAAGACGACGAAAACCAGACCUAGUGGAGCCGACAAUGAUCCAGUGGUGGUGGCCGAUGGUGGCACGAAAAAAAUGAUGGAAACGUGAACCAAUACCGCAGCAAAAAACCGUAGUGGCAACAUUAAAGACCCAAUGUAUGCUUUGAGGUGAAUUUUGUAAUUUUAUAAUUUUAUUAUUUUUCUAGGAUGGAAUCAUGAAAACUUUGGCUGAUCAGAGUCAUUUGAAUUUUAUGCUUUUAUAUUUAUGAGAUAAGCAUUAUGAUAUUUAUAUAACAACGGAUAUAUGUUCAUGCAUAUAUGAGAUAAGCAUGUCGUAUAGAUUAGGAAAAAAUGCCACAUGUACUUGUCAUGCAUAUAUUGAUCAUUCAUAAUUGAAACUGAAAUUAAAAACCUUGCAUGUUUAUUAAAAUAUUGAGAAGGAGAAGGUCCCUAAACAAGACCUACAGCCUCUAUCAAUGGUCUCUUGUGAUGACAUGAAACGAACCUGUCCUAAGGUGGACGUUGUCAUGUGGACUGAAGAGAUUUCAUAAAAUUAAGCAAAAUUUUCUUAUGGUCGUAUGAUAGUUGGACAGGCCUCUAUGGUAGGUAUUAUCAUGCGAUACAUCAAGAAAUUCUGUCUUAAAAUAGGAAAACUAGUCAACAUUCUACUCGACGAUAUUGUCCUAAGAUAAGUCAUUUGUGGUGCAUGAUGCGAUAGAUAUUGAUUUGAUGGUUAUACACCCAAGAUAAUCUAGUUAAGUAACUCUACAAGGAGCUAUACUUAAGUUAGAAUGAUGGUCAAAUGUUACACAAUUAUUAGUACGUGUGAAAGCCUAAUGAAUUAGGUUCAUGUACUAAUUGGAUGGAAAUUCAUGUUCUUACUAGUUGAUCAUGAUCACCCCAAGGUGGCUUGAUUCAAUGGGUGUAGGAAUUAUCGUUGCAACGGCUUACAAAUGUUUUCAAGGUUUAAUGUAAGACGUGUGCAUCAUAUUAAUGCUUAUCAUAAUGUUGCAAAACGUUUUCAAACAUUUGUUUAAUACAAAUAUAUUAAUAUAUGAAUGUUUUAUUUUUAGUUUGAAAAUAGUACCAACUCCUUUAUUGAACAUAUUCAUUGAAAACAAACUAAACGAAAAUAACUAUAAGGAAUAGAAAAGGAACCUAAUGAUUGUCCUAGGCUGUGAGAAACUUAAAAUAGUGACAUUACAAGCCUUUUCCCAUCGGAACGACCACCAUACGACAUCGUGGCAUGAAUCAUGUUUUGGUAUAUUAAAUUCAUUUGGUACUUGAUCCUGACACAGCAGAUGAUAUCUAGGGGUCUUUGAGCGCCACCACAUCAUCGUAAACUCAAACAUGCAUUAAAGCUAACAAAUUGUUUCCCUCAAACACAAAUAAAUCUUUCUGUUGAAAAUUUUCAACAUUAAAAAAGAAUAAUUGAGAGGAUUUUUUUUAGGGUUGAGGGGUGUGUUGAGAGAGUUUACGGAGUAGAAGGAGGAAAACCCCAUUUAUAUAGGCAACCGGUUGGGCAAGAAUUAAAAAAAAAAACAAAAUAUGUAUCACGAGUAACUGAAAAUAUCCUGAGAUUCUUGGGAUGUCUGAAAUUUGACGGGGGUUCCCAGUUCCUGGAAAUUUUUCACGGGUUGGGGGGUUGGUUGGAAAAGGGAGGGGUGAAAACACAACACAUAGGCAUUACACUAAAAUAGGUUUCUUGAAAGCGCCGCUAAAAUUAUUUACGACGUUUUGACAAGCGCUGAAAAAAACGUCGCUAUUGAACGCGUCGCAAACUUUUGCGGCGUUUUUAGAAAUAAAUGCCGCUAAAGACCAUGACCUUUAGUAGCGCUUUUUCGACAAACGCCGCUAUAGACCAUGACCUUUAGCGACGCUCUUUCACAAACGCUGCUAUAGACCAUGACCUUUAGCAACGCUUUUUGCACAAACGCCGCUAAAGACCAUUACCAUUAGCGGCGCUUUUUCCACAAACGCUGCUAUAGAAUAGGCCUUUAGCGACCGCGCUUUUCACACAAACGUCGCUAAAAACAUAUCUUUUAAAAAAUUAAUUUUUUUUCAAAUAAUAUUUAUUUCUAUGAUAAAUAUUAUAUUAUGUUUUAAGGAUAAAUAAAAAAUAUUAUUUAAAUUAAAUUUUCUAAGAAAAUUUUAACUUUAAAACUAAAUAUAAAUAUAGUAAAACUAAAUAUAAAUAUAAAAAUUAAUGAAUUUAAAUUUAGAAUUUAAAAUAAUAAAUUAAUAACACAAUUAAAAUCCAAAAGUUAGAACACUUAAGUACAAAUAAAAAUCUAGAAUCAAAACCAAAAUAAAUAAUACAUAUGCAAGGUAAUAAAAUAUACAAUGCAUUUUCUUAAUCAAGUAAAUCUUGGUAAUAAAAGAUAUAAUACAUUUACUUAAUCAAGGAAAUCUUGUAAUGAACUCAAAGCAAUGAGCCUUAGAGAAAAACUUUUGAGCAAGGCUUCAAAUUUGAACUGCAAAUUUAGUUCCUGCAUGCUCUGCAUGAAAAUAAGAGUAACUUAAUCUGUGCAAAGAUAAGUAAAUCGGUUCAACUUUUUUAGAUUGUUUUAUAAUGUUAUAGUAAAUUAGGUGUCUUAUAAUAUUAUAGUAAAUUAUUAACAAAUACAUCUAAAAAUAAUAAUAUCUCAACUUUUUAAGAUUGUUUGUGGAAUAAAAAAAUGUACACUACUGAUAUAUCUACUCACUUAAGUUAAUAUAGGUGGAAAGUAUUCAUCAAUAUAAAUUUAAAAUAUUAGAACAUAUCAUGCUUAAAUUCCAAUUAAACCCUUAAGCCUAUAUUCUUAAAUUCCAAUUACCAUCAACAAUUGCAGAAUCUCCUAAUUAGCUUCUUUGUAGAAUAUUUGAAUAUGAUAUUCCAUAGUCAGAAUACAUACAUCAACAGCUUAAAUCAAAGUAUUAGAACAUAUCAUGCUUAAAGAUAAUAAUUAGAUUUAUCUAAAAUCAAGCCCGAUUUAACUAGUACUAAGUAAACCUAUUUCAAGUUUUUUUUUUUUCUGGGCAGCCCAACAACAUAUAGAUUCAAUGAUCAGAUAAUCUAAAUUUAUCUAACCAACAAUUUUUUUAAAAAUUAAUUAAAAGUUUAAAAUCAUGGUUAAAAACCCGAUAGACAAACACGUAUGGCAAGAGAAACAAAGCAGGGACUUUUAUAGUAACGCACCUAUUAGCUGAAUCAAAGAAGCAAAAAUAGAAGAGAAAGCCGAAGUGAAUCCUCAAAAAGUUCGAAAAUAAUGAAGUCCCUUCCUUCAGUGCCAAGCUUCUUAGAUUUUCUGAUAGCUGCAUGGCAGCUUUAUAGUCUCUAGCACUUAGCAAUUCCUCAAUUUGAUUCAACAUAGAGGAGUAAGACGCAAGUGGCUUGAAAGGCUUGAAAAAUAGUGAAUGUGAUUACUUUAUUUCUAAGUCUGUCAAGAAAAAUAGCGAAGUCUUCAAACUCGUGGGGAUAUGUAGCCCAAGUGCUGUGCGACAAAGCACCACAAAAGGAAAAAGCAAAAACAACAUACAGUGGCCGAAAAACACAAAUAACCACACAAUGAAUGACGACAGACUCUACUAAAUUUAACUUGCAAAAAUAUGAACUUCAAUUAAAUUCUUUGCUUUUAAGAGAUUACUGUGUCGUUAAGCUAGUUAUGAAGCUUGCUAAGGAAUGUGAUUUUGAGGAGAUUAAGGUUAACAGUUCAGUAAUUAUUGAUGCUGAAAAAGCUAAAGUCACCAUGUUGACAACAAAAAAGUUUGCAGAAGCUUCAAUCAUUCUUAGUUUCGUGCCUAUAAAUUUCGUAUUUAAUAAGGUGCCUUAAAAAUUUUGCAUUGAUUAUAUAUAAUAAUAUUAUAAUUUUCCUCAAAAUAUAUACAAAUAAUAUUAUUUGUGCAUGUUAUUUGAUGAACAAUGCAAAACAGAUUUGUAACAGAUGGAUUCAUAAUUUAACUGGGGGGAAAAACAAUUGCAGAUCCAAGUGCAAGUAUCACAAAAUUUACAUUAAGAAAACAGAUAUUUUGAAUUGAAAAUUCAAGCCGCCAAAAUACCAAAUCAAAUUUCAAAUUAAUUCAAGAUCUGAACAGAAAAAAAAAACCAUCACUAAUUUAACCCAGAUCUCGAAAAACACCAAUAAUUUAAAAAUGAAAUCAACAAAACCAAGAAUUAAUAAAGACAUGGAAGAAGCUAGUUCACCUUAAAAACACCUUGGGGUGUUUGAGAAAUGCUUUCUCCAUCUAAUAUAAAAUAAAAAGAAAGAUCAAAGCAGUUUCAACACAUAAAAAUAAGACAGAUAAAAGGCAGAGAAAGAGGAAUGUGGACCUGUUCCGCCAUGGCUGAGGAUUGAAAGGACUACCCAAUACUCUGCAAAGACACAGCACAAAAACCCAGCAAGACAGAUCAAAUUUUAAAGCAAAUUGCUGAUGGUAUUUCAAACGGAAGAAUGACUAACUGAUGCUUGUAUUUCCUCCAGUGUUCGUCCUUUAGUCUCGGACACCAUUAUUGCGAAUAGGAUGAAAUUUGCACGGCAAAAGGCUGACAAUAUAAAGAAUGUCCCUGAAACAAUGCCAAAAGAAAUGCAGUCAUUUGUAAGAUAAAAGACGCUUGAGAAAUAUUAUGACAAAAAUGAACAAGGCAUGAAUCACCUGUUGAGCUCCAUUCACGUAGGAAGUUAAAGUAGUAUGCAACAACCCAACCAAUGAAACUGCCCAUAAAAUUACAUAUGCUUCCUGCUGAACCUUUUACAUUUAUUGGAAAUAACUGUGACGCAAGCAAUUAUUGUUCAAUAUGUUGUUGGAAUAGAUGAACGAAAAACGAAACAAAGGCAAAACAAUUUGUGGACCUCUGAUAAUAACAGCAAAGGUAUUCCUGCGCCAACUAUGGUAGAUCCCGUGUACUGUGACUGCAAUUUUCCUGCCAAAAUGGAGGAGAAGAGAAAACACUUGUAAGGCAAAGAGAAACGAGCUAAAAGGAAAAUUAUAUUUAUUUAUACCGAUUUAAACUUAUAGACUACAAUAUUUUAAUUUGCAUACAGAUAAGCAUCCAUAGUGCAGUUCAGAUUCGACUAAAUUGAACAAAGUUCAAGAAAUUUCAGACCCUAAAAAGUGAAAGUAAGAAGGAAAAAAAAGAUAGAUGAGUACUUGAAACGAUUCUUCUUUGUUUUUCAUCUUUUGUACUUGAAAUAUUCAGAGUCACGUAGCAAGCAAUCUUCUCAUUACGCCUGAUUCCAAAAGAUCUCACAGUGUACCUAGCUGCAAAAUCAGAAGAGGUUUAGCGGCAAAAUCAAGCGAUCCGGAGAAGGAAAAGAAGAUCACUCUUUAGCUUCAAAAACAGAAACACCGGAAUUGUUUCGAUUUUCGAGAUUUUGACGAAAAGAUAAAGAUGGAAUAAUCGUCGGUCGGGAAAUCUUUCGGGAAAAUUUGGAUUUUCCUAAAAAAUACACCGACCGGAUAAACAAGAGAAAAACAAAGACGGUGGUUGAGAAGAAGAGGAGCUUAAAGUAGCAAAAGUAGGGAACGAUGAUGAUGAAGACGUGGUGGCGGAGAGAAACCCCUAAAGGGUGUUUUGAGGAUACAAAUUUUAGGGGGAAAAAUUAGGGGUUUUAGGGGGGAAAUUUAGAGAAAAAAAGGUGCAAUUUUUUUGAAAGUAAAAUGUUUUUGUGGCGUUUUUAUAAAAAAACGUUUUUUUGGAAUAAAAAAAUAAACUGAACUUUGUGUAGGACACGUUUUUUAAGGUAAAUUUAGAGAAAC